rnacentral:lncRNA from 1 species
AUGACAGUUGCAAAAAUGGAUUCUCUGCCUUAUGCAAACUCUAUCACUGCUGGCCUGUUCACAGUAAUCAUCGUGUUCUAUUACUUAUCUCGAAGAUGGAGAGCUUCCAAUCACGAGGGCAAAUUAUCACCACCAGAAGCCAAGGGUGGAUGGCCUAUAUUUGGUCACCUUCAUUUGUUCGGAGGCCCCACACCUCCUCACAUAACUUUGGGAGCCAUGGCGGACAAGUACGGACCCAUUUUCACUAUCCGCCUUGGCGUCCAACCGUCGUUGGUGAUAAGCAGCAGUGAGAUCGCAAAAGAAUGCUACACAACCAAUGACUUGAGCAUACUCGGUCGCCCAAAGAUGGUGGUUGCAGAUCACGUUACCUACAACUAUGCCAUGUUUGCGUUCGGACCACCUGGACCCUAUUGGCGACAAAUUCGCAAGAUCGUUACCUUGGAGUUGCUCUCAGUCCGGAAGGUUGAGCUGCUCAAGCACAUUCGAGUGUCGGAAGUGGCUACUUUCUUAAAAGAAUUGCACGACCAUUGGAGUACAAAGAAAAAGGAGGGCUCGAAAGAUGGAGUGGUUGUAGAGCUAAAGCAAUGGUUUGGGGACAUGAUGCUGAACGUUAUUCUUACAAUGGUGGCUGGAAAGCGGUUUUCGGUGGCUGCCACUGGGGAUGAGAAGAAAGAAGCGCGUAGGGUUCAGACUGCAUUGAGGGAGUUCUUUGAUUAUCUGGGCAUGUUUUUGGUGGGUGAUGCGGUUCCUUAUCUGCGGUGGUUGGAUUGGGGUGGACAUGAGAAGGCAAUGAAGAAAAGUGCAACGGAAAUGCACGCCAUUAUUGCAGAGUGGCUUGAAGAGCAUAAGCAGAGGAGAGCAAAAGGUGUUGCAAAAGGAGAAAAGGACUUCAUAGAUUCGUUGCUUUCUGUGCUUGAUGGUGCGGACCUUGGCAGUUUCGAUGCUGAUACGAUCACCAAAGCCACAAGCGUGGUACGUAUAUAUAAUUCAUUAAUUUUUGCAGGCAAAUAUUUAACCAUAAAAGGCUGGAGUUAGACACUAUUCACAUAAAGAUUUUAUUUUUACUUUUCAAUACUUAUAAGCUAAUUGCAUGGUCUAUAAAAAGAAAAUGAAAACAUUAGACGAUAAUAUUUUUUUUUUUAAAACAAAUUAUGUCCAAUUUUAUAUAUGACUCAUGUGACAUAUUUGUCGGCUCACCAAUGGGUAAUGGUAAAGAGAUUAUCUUCUUAGACUGUAUCUGUAGAUCACAUGAUGUGACGGUUAUUAGAUUCUUUCUUUAAAUCCUUAAUAAUGAAAUCCAACCAUCAAUUGUCAUAUUCUUUGAUUUACAAGAUGUGAUUUAAAAAUAUAAUCACUUUAACAUUUUUGUCGCGUAAAGAAUGUAUAAAUGUUAAUCAAGCAAAUAUUCCUUGGGCAGAAUAUUAUUGCAGGAGGUGGCGACACCACCAUGGUGCCAUUGACGUGGGCAAUAUCAUUAUUGGUGAACAACCCUCAAGUUUUGAAAAAAGCUGUAAAUGAACUGGACACCAAAAUAGGGAAACAAAGAGUUGUGAGUGAGGAAGAUAUAAGCAACUUGGUCUACAUCCAAGCUAUUGUAAAGGAGACGUUACGUUUGUACCCAGUAGGACCAUUAUCAGGGCCGCGUUUAUUCACCGAAGAUUGCACCAUUGCUGGCUACCAUAUCCCAAAGGGCACCCGGUUGAUCCCGAACUUCUGGAAGAUCCAAACUGACCCGAAAAAUUGGCCUGAGCCAUUCGAGUUCAAGCCAGAGAGAUUUCUUACCACACACAAGGAUGUUGAUCUGAAGGGUCGGCAUUUUCAGUUUCUUCCUUUUUCAAGUGGUAGAAGAUCAUGUCCUGGUUUGGCAUUUGGUCUUCAACUGGUGCAAUUUACAUUGGCUAGUUUUCUGCAUGCGUUUGAAAUCUCAAAUCCGUCGAGUGCACCAAUUGAUAUGACAGAGAGUUUUGGAAUAACCAACGUUAAGGCAACUCCACUUAAUGUUCUCAUCAAACCUCGCUUAUCUUUUGAACUUUAUGGAUAAAAGAAGAAAAUACAGAAUAUUAUGUGUACGAUAUGAAUAAGAGAUUUUCGUUGUUAUUAGUUAUGUAUAAUUAUGUGUCCAUCUUUGUAAUCGUAAAAUCAAUAAAUCAAGGCUUUUUAUGUUAGCACCCCACAAAAUGUUGAAUACACUCCACAUUAAAAUUUAAUAUUAAUGACUUAUUUACUCUGCUAUGUAAUAACAAUUUUGACCUUAUUAGGUUUAAAAAAUAAUAAAAAAUUUAUAAAUACACCCCAAAUUACUUUUAACGUAUUAUUUAUCUAUUUCAACUAUCAAAACCCCUCUCAUUCUCCAUUGUUGAAUAAAACCCUAAACAAUGAAACUACAAACAUGUUGAUUGAGAAAAAUAAUUUUUGACGAAUGGAACACAAAAUCGAUGUUUCGAAAGCUUUGAAAUCAUUAUUAUUGUUAUUGAAAAACAUUCAAAUGAACCUAAACAUUUUUUGAAAUCAUUCAGCAAACUAAUGUUUAGAUAGUUUGAAAUCAUUUGGCAAAAUAAAAAAUGAGUGUUAUAAGAUUUGAGAAAUGUGGGGUGUGUGUAGAAAAUAUAAGGUGUAUAUUAAGAAUGUGGGGUGUGAGAGUAUUAUGGGAAAGAAAGUGGAGUGUAUUAACAUAAUUUUUAAUUGAAAAAGUAAAUAUGGGAUAUAUUAAGUAUGUGAGGUUUAUUCAACAAUUUGUGGGGUGCUAAUAUAAUAAGCCUAUAUCAACUGCCAAUGUAAGAUACAAAACCUAGCAAUAAUGGGUGUUUGAGAAUGGGUAUAUUUAGCAAUAAAAAAGUACCCCCAAAAAAGCCUCUAUUUACAUUUUCCAUUGGGCUAUCUUUUGGGUCUGUUGCCUCCGGAUUUUUUUAUUUUCAAUUUGCUUGUAAAGAACCCACCCAUUUGCCAGCACAAACAGGACAAAUUAAAAUAGUCUGUGGAAAUAAAGAUGAGAAUUAAGUGGGAGUAAUGGGCAUAAAGGUUACCUCAAGAUUUACAAUUGUUUUACCAUUUCCUCUAACUUAUUGUCAUCGCUAAAUGGCUGUUAGUAGGGUGAGUUAUAGAGAAGAAACUGGGGCAGCAAGCAAGAACAAAAAGGCUGCAGGUUGCAGCGGCAAAGAUAAGGGAAAAAAAACUGAAAAAAAAAUGGAAAGGUGCAGCUGACGAAAAUGGGAAGGAAGAAAGCAAGGCAGCAAAAAGUUGGACGAGGAAGAGGGAAGCAAUAGAGGAAGGAGGAAAUCUUGGCAUUCUUUUCUUUCGGUUUUAUCUUCUCAAACUCAUGUCUUUCUUUUGGUUUUAUUUGAGAAUUAUGUGUAACUAAUUUUUAGUAGUUAUGGGCUAUUUUGAAGCCCCAAAUAUGAUUGCAAGUUUGUUAUGACAUUUUGUUGAAUUACUUUUAUAAAUUGAAGAAAAUUGGUUUACUACUUGUCUCAUUGAUGAAUUAUUUAUGUGUUUUCUACGGAUGCAUACUUAGUAAGCAUAUCUAGGAUUCUAAUGCUAUGAAUAUGUGUGUACCUGCCAUUGUCGAAUGAGGACCUACAUAUGUUCUAGAAUAGUACUUGUUAAUUGCGUUUAACAUGUGAACCAAUUUCUAGGAUAAGUAAGACAACGCUAAUACUUACGAUACCUUGUGAUGACUUAAACUCUUUUCGUUCUUAAUGAUUUCUACUUGUUAAAUAUAUGAACAUGCCAUUCUAGAUUGCAUGCUAGAGACUAAGUUAAGUUGAAAACGUCAUUCACUUAACAUACUACAUAAGAAAGAGUAAUAACAUACUACAUAAGAAAGAGUAAUAGGUUGAGUUCUAACAUUGAGCCAACUUGAGCAUCUUCAUCCGGAAAUAAAAUGAAUUUGAAUGAAACAUAACAUGUUUGCAUGAUUAUUUUGUGGUGGAUAGCAAUUCCCCUAACUCGUUUUUCUUAAUUUGUGAACUACUUAAAAUUUGUUUAUGUCCUGUUUUUGUUCGAUUUAAUUUUAAAAGAAAAUCAACUCCAAAAAUUUGUGUGAGUGUAGCUCUGUGUGUCUAGUGUCUUCAUAUAAAAUUUCGUAGACUUUAGAUAAGUGUAAGUUGGUCUAAUAAUUAUUUUCCGGUGGCUGGUCAGUAGGGACAGCAGCCCAGUUUUUGUGACAUUUUAAGUAGUUAGAUAAAACAAUCUUCUGCAGGAAAUACUCUUAUUUUCAUAUACUACAAUUGACAAUUCUUAGUUUUAAUAAGGAAAAUCAAUAAGAUAUUUAUGUGCUAUUUUGUGAUGUGCUUUUAAUCCUAUCAGGUACCAUAACAGGAGGGCAGACAAUCUGCCUCCCAAUUCUAGUGUAGAGUUAUUUUUGUAAGAUUAUUUUCAUGGGGGCGAUGAUAUUAAAAUCAUGCACAGAUCACACAGAAGGCAAUCCUAUCUUUACUUGCAAGUUGCAUCGAACAGAUAAGUAAAGGGUCCAAACCAGCCAUGUCAUAAAUAAUCAAGUUCUUCAGAAUAAUCAAGAGUUGUCGAGAAAAAUGUGGGACUGCGCGAUUUAACUAUGCAAUGUGAUAUUCACAUACUUUAUUUUAUUUCUUACACAUUUUUCUAAUUUUUUACUGUCGGAUCGGAUUAAUUGAAGAAGAUCAACAGAUAAAAAUUAACAAAAAAUAUGUGAAAAGUAAUUUGAAAUGUGUGAAUAACAUAUCUCUUAACUAUUUUAUCGUUCUUUACUAAAUUGUAUAUAGACAAGAAAAUAUUAUGGGAUAUAAAUAAUAAGUCUAAAGCCGUGUAGAAAGUAGUCGAAGAAAUAUCACACUUUUCACGAAUCAGCCUGAUGCUCCUUAAUUCAACAUUUGACUAAUGAGUUUAUAAUAUUAAAAAUAGCAAAUUAUAAUAUCAGACAAUGUGGCAUAUGCGGGUUCAUAUGUUAAUUAGUUGAAGUAUAGAUCCUCUUUGGAUCUAAAAAAACAGAGUCUAAGAAUUAAAUGAUCCGGAUCGUUGAAAUUUGAUCUAACUGCUACAAUUAUUAUAACUUUUAGAAUGAUCCUUUGUUUGUAGCCGUUGAAUCAAAUUUCAAAGGCCUGUAUCAUUUAAUUCAACGACCUGAAUCAUUUAAUCCUUAUACUCAGUUUUUUUAAAUCCAGAAAGAAUUUGCACUCAAUUAUUUGAGGGUUCUUUCAGGGAGAUCCAACAACAUGAAAAUUGAAACAAAGGUGUUAGAUUAAGUUGCAGUGUAUCAAGCUAAUGACAGUGUGUGUGAGCGUGACCCACAAGACUCAUUAUUUUAUGAAUUCUGAUCCUCUGCAUGUUUUUUCCCUACCACACUAUUUCGUUGAGGAGAAGUGAUAAGGGGCUCCCUCAUUCGAACCACCAACUCUGUUUUGGUAUACAUUUUCCACGGGAUCAAACGUACGUUAUUGCCUCAAUGCCUCAUGUGGUACCAAGACUAUGGAGAAAAGGAAUUUUUUGAGGCAAAACGAUAAUGGUUUGAUUGGCAUUUUUUUUUUAAAAGUACAAACUUCAAAUAGAGUAUCCUAGAUCAAAUUCGAGAGUGAUCCUUAAAUAAACAGUUCCAAAAAAAAAAUAAGGCCAGCUUGACCAAUCUAAUAGCUACCAUAUCGGCGGAUCUUCGAGUGUGAUAACACAUCUAGCACUCCAAAGUCAAAAAUAAUUUAAUCUCGACAACUAAAAAUUCAAUCACAUCAAAUCUACCUCAUGAGAAACUCUACACACAAAAUUGCUAGCAAAACCAGUAAAGAGCACUGUUUUCAUAUACAAGCAACACCAACUUCAAAGAGGAGCAAAAGAAACAAAUAGUGACCGUUAUAAUAAGAACUCUACACGCAAAACUACCAACGAAGCUAUUAGUUGUACCACGGUAAACCCCAUCAACGCCAUCAUGAGACAUAAAAGAAAGACACAAGCUCAAAAAGGCAAAUUUAACAUGGACGAAAGCCGCACUAUACCUAGACAACCCACACCAUAAAAAUUCAGCCUCAUCUCUUGCCACACCCCCACACUAUCCAAACAACCAUAGAGGGAAGAUUUUGUGAGAAAAAAUGGAUUGAAAAAGGACAAAAAAAUAAGUCACAGAGAACUCAAAUCUAAGCAAGUUUAGAUACAAACUUAAUCACCACAAAAGGGACUAAAAUUAUUAGUAUGUCAUCAAUGUGUGAUAAAAAAUUACUUGGUAGCUUCGCUACAACAGUCUACUUUUUAGGGAUAAAAAAGACUCACAGAUGCAUUUCAACCUCUCAUUUACUAUUAUCGUGUGAUACACAUGCGUUAAGAAUCUAACUCAAAACAUACCGUGUAAGAUAUAUGAGUAUAAAAUUUGUUUUCAAUCAGUAGGUCAUCCCUUAGCGUGGGGGCAAUGAUAUUUUUUCAGUAGGUCAUCCCUUACUGGAAUUGUCCCCAAUGUAUAAAAAUCACGAGCGCUAGACCAAUUCCAAUGUAUAGAUUUUUUUUGUAAGGUUAUUUUCGUGGGGGCAUACGUCACACAGAAGACAAUCCCAUCUUACUUGCAUGUUGCAACGAACAGAUAAGUAAAGGGUCCAAACCGGCAUGUCAUAAAAUAAUAAAUCUUCAAAAUAAUGAAAAUUCGUUAAACGUCUAGAAAAACGGGGGAUUGAGCAGUUUUACUAUUUUGUCAUCCUCAAUUAAAUUGUCCUUUUUAAGAGUUAUGAAAAGGAAAGGGUAUUUUUAAGGGAAGAGGAUCCUCUCCUGAGCUCAGGAUGGGGAUCCUCCUGAUCAGGUUAUUCGGACUGUUUAAAUUUAAUCCAACGAUUCUAAACAGGAGGGUCUUCUAAAAGUUAUAAUAAUUGCGAUCGUUGAAUUAAAUUUGAACGGUCUGGUUGGCCUGGUUAGAAGAAUCCUCAUCCUGAGCUCAGGAGAGGAUACCGAUUGCCAAACUGAUUAAGGUCGAUGCAGUUUGGUUUAGCCACCGUAAAUUAAAAAAAAAAAAAAAAAAAAAACCAAACCAGGCUUUAGGUGGGAUUCAAGCGGUUUAGUCGGUUUUUUUUUUUUUUUUAAAUGCCCAGCCCUAUGUUCUACAUAGAACCCAACAUAAUUUUUUUCUCUUAAUAAUUAAGAUCCAUAUAAGCAAAUUCAUCAAUUAUACUUUACUUUACAGAUUUUACAUUUUUCGAAUUCUUAAAAUAUUCAUAUUGCAUGUUUGAUUUACACAAUUAAUUAUACGUGGGUUCUUAGGUUUGAUUCUUACUAAAGGUAAAUUUAAACCUCAUUAUUACUAACUCAUUGUGAGACUUAGCUCACUCUCCAUCCCUUUAAUAUAGAUAAUAUCAUUUGUUAAAAAAAAAUAACAAUCUAUCUUUUACCUUUUAGUUAGUCAUAAUUUUUUCAUUUCUCCUCUCAACUGGAGAUCAAGAGUUAUGUAUUUCAAUACAACCAUACGUAAUAAUCGGACCCUUACUCCUAUAUAUACGUGUGUGUAUGACAAGGCGAUAAAUCAACUUAAGCCUUUACCCAGUUCGGUAAAAAGCAUUUUGCGUCUAGCUUUCUCAUGAUAGUUGCAAAAAUGGAUUCUCUCCCUUAUGCAAACUCUAUCACUGCUGGCCUGUUCACAGUAAUCAUCGUGUUCUAUUACUUAUCUCGAAGAUGGAGAGCUGCCAAUCACAAGGGCAAAUUAUCACCACCAGAAGUCAAGGGUGGAUGGCCUAUAUUUGGUCACCUUCAUUUGUUAGGAGGCUCCACACCUCCUCACAUAACUUUGGGAGCCAUGGCGGACAAGUACGGACCCAUUUUCACUAUCCGCCUUGGCGUCCAACCGUCGUUGGUGAUAAGCAGCAGUGAGAUCGCAAAAGAAUGCUACACAACCAAUGACUUGAGCAUACUCUCUCGCCCAAAGAUGGUGGUUGUAGAUCACGUUAGCUACAACUAUGCCAUGUUUGCGUUCGGACCACCUGGACCCUAUUGGCGAGAAAUUCGCAAGAUCGUUACCUUGGAAUUGCUCUCAGUCCGGAAGGUUGAGCUGCUCAAGCACAUUCGAGUGUCGGAAGUAGCUACUUUCUUAAAAGAAUUGCACGAACUUUGGAGUACAAAGAAAAAGGAGGGCUCGAAAGAUGGAGUGGUUGUAGAGCUAAAGCAAUGGUUUGCGGACAUGAUGCUGAACGUUAUUCUUACAAUGGUGGCUGGAAAGCGGUUUUCGGUGGCUGCUGCUGGGGAUGAGAAGAAAGAAGCGCGUAGGGUUCAGACUGCAUUGAGGGAGUUAUUUGAUUAUCUGGGCAUGUUUUUGGUGGGUGAUGCGGUUCCUUAUCUGCGGUGGUUGGAUUGGGGUGGACAUGAGAAGGCAAUGAAGAAAAGUGCAACGGAAAUGCACGCCAUUAUUGCAGAGUGGGUUGUAGAGCAUAAGCAGAGGAGAGCAAAAGGUGAUGCAAAAGGAGAACAGGACUUCAUAGAUGCGUUGCUUUCUGUGCUUAAUGGUGCAGACCUUGGCAGUUUUGAUGCUGAUACGAUCACCCAAGCCACAAGCUUGGUACGUAUAUAUAAUUUAUUAAAUUUGCAGGCAAAUAAUUAACCAUAAAAGGCUGGAGGUAGACACUAAACACAUCAAGAUUUUAUUUUUACUUUUCAAUACUUAUAAGCUAGUUGCAUGGUCUAUAAAAAGAAAAUGAAAACAUUAGGCAAUAAUUUUUUUUUUUUUGAAAACAUAUGUCCACUUUUAUACAUGACUCAUCCGACAUAUUUGUCUGCUCAUCAAUGGAUGAUGGUAGAGAAAUUAUCUUGUUAGAUUGUAUCUGUAGAGCAUAUGAUGUGACGGUUGAUGGUUAGAUUCUUUUUUUAAAUCUUUAAGAAUGAAAUUCAACUAUUAUUGCAGGAGGUACUGUUACAUUCUUUGAUUUACAAGAUGUAAUUUAAAAAGAUAAUCUCUUUAACAUUUUCGUCAAGAAUGUGUAAAUGUUAAUCAAGCAAAUAUUCCUUGGGCAGGCUAUUAUUGCAGGAGGUGCCGAUACCACCACGGUGGCAGUGACGUGGGCAAUAUCGUUAUUGCUGAACAACCCUCACGUUAUGAAAAAAGCUCUAAACGAACUGGACACCAAAAUAGGCAGACAAAGAGUUGUGAGUGAUGAAGAUAUAAGCAACUUGGUCUACAUCCAAGCUAUUGUAAAGGAGACGUUACGUUUGUACCCAGGAGGACCAUUAUCAGGGCCGCGUAUAUUCACCGAAGAUUGCACCAUUGCUGGCUACCAUAUUCGAAAGGGCACCCGGUUCAUCCCAAACUUCUGGAAGAUCCAAACUGACCCGCAAAAUUGGCCUGAGCCAUUCGAGUUCAAGCCAGAGAGAUUUCUUACCACACACAAGGAUGUUGAUCUGAAGGGUCAGCAUUUUCAGUUUCUUCCUUUUUCAAGUGGUAGAAGAGCAUGCCCUGGUUUGGCAUUUGGUCUUCAACUGGUGCAAUUUACAUUGGCUAGUUUUCUGCAUGCGUUUGAAAUCUCAAACCCGUCGAGUGCACCAAUUGAUAUGACAGAGAGUUUUGGAAUGACCAACCUUAAAGCAGCUCCGCUCAAUGUUCUCAUUAAACCUCGUUUAUCUUCUAAACUCUAUGGAUAAAAGAAAAAAAUAUAGAAUAUUAUGUGUGCAAUAUGAAUAAGAGGUCUUCGUUGUUAUUAGUUAUGUAUAAUUAUGUGUCCAUCUUUGUAAUAGUAAAAUCAAUAAAUCAACUGCCAAUGCAAGAUACAAAACCUAGCAACAAUGAGUGUUUGAGAAUUGGCAUAUUUAGCAAUAUAAAGGUACCCCAAAAAAGCCUCUAUUUACAUUUUCAAUUGGGCUAUCUUUUGGGUCUGUUGCCUCCGGAUAUUUUUGUUUUUCAAUUUGUUUGUAAAGAACCCACCCAUUUGCCAGUACACAAACAGGACAAAUUAAAAUAGUCCAUCUGCGAUUAUUAUCACAAAGCUAAUUUUGAUUAGGUUUUUCUUAUUAUUGAUUGAAAAACCAAGAGAUUUUCAUUACAUUAAGAGCUGGUUUGGUAUUACUGUGCUUUGAAAAAAAACUGCUUCUGCUGUGUUGUGAGAAUAAGCGGAUGUGAAAUAAAGCUGUAGAGUGUUUGGUAAACUUUUUUGUAAAAAUGCUUUUGAAAAAAAAAAACAGUAUUAUAGUGUUUGAUAAACUUUUAUGUAAAAUAGAUGUGAAAAAAAAGCUGGGUUUUCAAAGCUGGGUUUUGCAGCUUCUUGUUUUUGGUUUUUUUUCACCCAAAACUGUGAAAAAAAGCUGAAGCUGAAUGUUUACCAAACACAAAAAAGCUCCCAACUUUUUUUCAUACCAGCUUUUUUUUAAUCACCUCAAUCCCAAACUGCACCUAACUUGGGUCUAAACUGCUCUGAAGUGCAAAAUUUGCAUUGCAAUGAUAAGUUUACUGCUUACAUCACUUUGCAUAUCAGUAAUGUGAUAUCAAAAUGUGAUAUUUCUAGCAUUAUUUGUAGGGCAAAAAAGAAAUCCAAGAAAACCGCAUUCGAUCCGAAAAAUUUAAGCCAAACCUGAAAAUUCCAAAUUAUUUGGUUAUUGAAACCAAACAAUUCUUAAAACUUCGGUAUAAAAAUUUAUAUGUACUAAAGCUCAGCAGAUUAGCAUUGUUCACCAUGUGAGAGCGAGCACUGUUCACCAGCCGUUAAAAGGGAGGAAAUGCCCACGGUUUUUGCUUUGGUUCCUAUACUGUUUACACUUUGCUACAGGAAAAAGUUAGUUUUGUCCUUCCCGGCCUUGCGUCUGUUAUCAGCAAGCGAAUCAGGUUCGUCUCUCGCUCUCUCUCUCUCACAUUUUUUUUUUCAAAUUGGGACGUGCUGUCUUCUCCUUUUCCAUCUCCAUCUCUGCGCAACUUGCCAAAUCUCUCCUGGGAACCUUCCACCGCAUCGUUUUUGUAAUUUUGGCUUGAUCUGGAUGGCUUCAGAUCUCUGAAGCCAUUAUCUGUGAUGACACGUGGAAGACUGGGAUGAGAAGGAGAGAAGAGAAAGGAGUAAAAUGAGCAAUGGCUCCGGCCAAUGAGGGAGAAAGGAAACAAAGGAAAGGAGGGAAAGGAGAAGAAGAGAACCGGCCAACCCGGUUUCUCCACCCGACCCGCCAACUUGACCCGCUCAUAUCUCCUCCAUACGAACUCUGUUUUGGGUGAUCUUGAUGUCCAUGGAAAGCCCUUGAUGAGCCAUACAUCUAUGUAGUGUUAGAUUUCCCAAUUUCUUUCCCAUUUUUCUACUUCGAAGCCACAAAGCCCACGACUUUUUUGGCAACUUUAAUCUUUUUCCAGUGGCUCCGCGCGAGCUUCACCGUCAAUGACCACCACCAAAAGACUCCUCUCAACCCCAGGAGCAAGGCCCAAGCCUUUGAUGAGGUGACGAAGUUUGUUUUGGUGACGAAUCGACAACUACCCAAAUCGAGGGUUUCCGGUGGGUUUGAGUCAAUUUGGAGCCUUUUCCAGCCAAAUUAGACUUGACCACAGGUAUAAAGUUUGCUCUACUCUUUAAGAUCUUUAUUUAUAUAAAAUUUGAGAAUUUUUUAAAAUAGUUGAAAUUUUCCGGCUAGUCGGGGCGGCUGACCACCCCACAUGGCGACGAGUGGCCAGAAGGCCGUUGCUGUUAUUUUUAGGCUAAAUUAGAUGCCUUGAUUUCAGUUUUGAUAUUCGUAUGAUGUAGAUUGAUCGUUUGAACCUAAAUUCACUAUGAUACCUUACUUGAUCAAAAUAAUGAAUCGACGAUCCGACCGUUGGAUCGUCACCAAACUUUGAGACCUUAUCGUAUGUAAUAUUUGAGGACCUUAGGAGUUUACAGAUCGGGAAUCCAUCAUACUAAUCUUCCCGAAUUGGAUUUUCAAGUUUAUAAAAUAAAACGUUGACCACCACUUGAUUUCAUGAUUGGCGGAGAUCCGACCGUUGGAUUGGAAUGAAAUUUUAGUAUGUUGUUCUAGAAGCGUAAGGUGAACUACGCGGAACCUUUUACAACUAUUAACACAAUCUUCUCGAAGCAAUGAUAACCCGCACAUAAUCAACCUAACAUAAUCCAGGAUAGAAAUUAUAAAUACAAACCAAAUUCCUUUGUAUCCAUCAUGACAGCUAUUUCAGUUAGCUUUUGGAUCUCAAGAAAAUGAAAACCAGAUAUUACUCUACUUAUGAGAAAUAUCAGUGUCUCAGGCCGGAUGAUGAUGCUGUAACAACUCUAAGUAGUUUUCAAUACUUUGAUAUCUGCAAGUUUUGUUAAUAGUAAGCACAUUAGGUGAAAAUGAAAAUGAAAACAAGGAAAAUGAAAACUUUCCUUGUUGCAAAUCACUUUACGCAACAUGUCACCCGUUGGCAACAUUUUUUUCAUGCUAUGACCAAGAUUGGACUUCAAGUUAGUGAGUCUUAAACCAGUCCAAAACUGCACUAAACCUUUAGGAACAACCUAUCAAGAAAACUAAUAAUUUGAACAAGCUUUAGAAUCAGUUCUGCUUCAGGCUACACGAUUAUAUCACAUAUUGUCCGGUGGUAGUACAUUUAAGAAAGUCAACUAAGCAAAUAACAGCCUGUAGCUAAACGUUUCAUAUCUUUGAUCAGUGACCCCUAUGCAAGCUCAUUGAUAGCAUUUAAAAAUGAUCCAGUCAAGAAAAGUAUACAAAUUAGCUAAUGAUUUUGUAGAUACCUGUGCAGCGUUGUUAAAUUCAGGUAAAGGAUUCCCAUUAUUAUAUGUUGCUUUGACAAGUUCAUCGAAAAUGUAGCCAUAUAGUACGUCACUCUUCUCCAGUUUUUUGUUCAGACCUUCCACAUGGUUUCGAUGAUGGCCUCCCCAAUGAACUUCCAAUAUUCUCUGACUCAUAUACGGCUCCAAAGCAUCCUGAAAACAGAAACAUUACAUUUCAGUCAAGGAAGAUCAUAUGCAUAUUGCAAGCAUAAUAUAAUUACAUGUAUGUAUCAUCACGUGACAAGAAUAAGCAGCUCGAAACAGAAUAGUAAUCUCUACACAAUAAGAUUUACAACACGAGAUGGAUAACUUCAUAGAAUCAAAUGCUACACCACAAGAACUUCAGAAACCAAACAAUCAAAUUACUAAAGUAUUGCAAAUCCCAUCAGGUAAUAAGAAACCACAAAACUUCUCUUGGUGCACCUAAUGUGACAAUAGAAGCUGACUUGGCCAACCCGAUUUCAUGUCCUUAAAAUUGGUUUAAGGAGAAACUAGUUUACUUACAAGAAUAUAAGGAGGUUUCUUCAAUCCAUAGUAAGCACAAACUAACCCCAACUUUUGGCCUUGAACGGCUACAAUGAUUCCAGUCUCUUAAACUGUAACAACAACUAUUAACAUACAUAGAGAGUAAUUCUUAAACCUUGAAAUUUAGCCCAUUUCCUAAUAAUUUAUCCCAAAUAAAAACCUGAUUCAAUCCCCAUUUCAAAAUUAAAACCCUAAUUCCCAUUCACAAUUUUUCAAACCCUGAAAUCCAUCCCAUGCCCUAGUAAUUUAUCCCAAAUUAAAACCCUAAAUUCUAAAAUUCAUCUCAAUUCACGAUCAAAAUCCUUAAUUUCACAAUUCCAUAAUUUGUAAUUAGACUUACUUUCGAGAUAGACGAGCACGACGAAGGGGGUGGUGACUGCCUGUCGUUUGGAACGAAAGGGAGAGAGACAACCGAUAGUGGGUUCGAGAUUGGGGCAAUUUAGGGUUCGAGCGAAGAGGAGGAAGCCUACGGGAGAGAGGGUAUGAUGAGCGAAGAGGAGGAAGGCUACGAAAGAGAGAGACCGAGUGAGAGAGAGAGAAAGAGAGAAGGGGUCUGGGAAGAGGAGGAGGGCGUGAAAAGCAAAGGGGUCUUGGAAGAUUUUGUCCAAAAUUAUCAAAACUGGCGCUUAUUUUUUACACUUGUGCCAAAAUAUUCAAAACUGGCGCGACAUAGGUAUACAAUUCGACGUCGCGCAAAGUGUUUUUGCGCGACGACAACAUAAAGGCGUCGGUAUUUUUUAUAUAAAAAAAUUAUUAUAAAAAUAACUGAAAAUGUGACUUUACUCAUUUUAAAUUUAAUUAUUUUUACAUAAAACUCAUAAUAAUAUAUUUUUUAACAAAAACCUGACUAAUAAAUUGGUAGCUACUUAAUAAAUAUACAUAUCAUUCAAUUUCUUAAGUAUUAUACGUAAAAAAUAAAUAAAUUUAAAUCUACUUGAUAAAUAUAUAUACCAUUGAACUUGAUGCGAUACCACAUUGUACGUAACUAAUUUAAAUGAUCUAACCGUCAAACUUGUUUGUAUAUUGAUGCGUGAAAUAAGUUAACACACAAAUUAACCCUCUUUUUGACAAUUGUAGUAUAGAUGUAAGUAGGGUAUCGUUCUAGGCCGGGGAUUAGGAGGGAUUGCUAAUCUAUUCUAAAUUAAUUUAAAAAUAUUAAACAAGACUCAAGGACACAAAACUAGGCUAAAAACUCUAAUAACUCGAAACACACUUAGAAUGACUCAAAAUAAUGAAAACAAUCAAAUUAGACACUAGGAACUGAAAUGGACGGAAAUUGAAUUAAAAGACUAACAACAAUGAAAACUAACUAAAUAAUAUAAUUUAAUAAUGGGGGGGUUUGGUUUUUACGAGAAGUAAAUUAAACUUAAAUAAAUUACAGAAUUGACAAAAGCAUGAAAUUAAGGUGAAAGGAUAGGUGACGGACUAGCUAGAGGGUUCUUCUCCACACAUGACACAAAUGCAACCUAAAUUGAUUUUCAGUUGUUCUUUCAAUAAAUUGUAAAUCUCAACGCCCCAAAUUAACCGUGAAUUGCACUAAUUAACCCUCAGUUUUUCCACAAGUUAUUAGGUUGGAUGAUUGCAUACGACAACCCAAAACAUUCCCUACAAGUUCCCUACAUGAAUUGCAUAAUAGAGAUACAAGCAAGAAUCAUUAAGUUCUAUGAAAAACAUAAGCAUUGACGAGGCACUCGUUACUAUGAUUUGCAUGAAACUUAUGCCAAGAAUUUACUUAACGUGAUUGGGACUAGCAACCUUCACUACUUGUGAAUAUAAGUUCAUAACGAUUAGGUGAAACUCCCUUAUAUUCUAGCGUCAAAUUCAUGCAUGUAAAUUAAGUAUGCAUUCUUAAUCGACAUACAAAAAUAAGCUAUCAAUCAAGCAGUUAAGCAAAUUAAAUCACAACUCAGAAAUCACAACUGAAGGUAAUCAAUUCAUAUUACAAAUAUAUUCAUGGCUUUGAAUUAACCUCUAGCCAAAAUAAAAUUAGUUACAUAUUAUUAAAACAGAAAUAAAAUAUAAGUUUGGAAAGAUUUAACCAAAAAAAAUAGAGUGAAGCUCCUUCUCUGUCUCUCUGUGCUCCCCCUGUCUCUGCCUUCCGCGCCUUCAGUUUUCUUCUUUUCUCCUGCGUCAGUCUGUCCUCCCCCCGCCCCAGUCCUUGCUGCUGUCACUCUCUGACUCUUUUUUUUUAUUUUCUGUCUGUUUCGUUUCUCUUGGUCUCCGCCCCGCCCCUGCUAGUCGGUCUCCCCUAUUUUUCUAUUCUCCUUCCCUCCUAUCUGCCGCGCCUCCUGGCCUCAUCUUAUUCUUCUUUCAUUUUUUUAUUCCUUCUUUUUUCUUUUUCUUGUCUGCCAUGCCUCAUUCCUUUUAUCAUUUUCUGUUUUUCUUUCCUCCACCAUUCCUUUCUUUAUGUUUCUUUUAUUCCUCCAUCAUUCCAUGUCUCCCCUUUUAUUUAUUUUCUUAUUCUUCUUUCUCCACACAAUCCGCAAGUCUCUCCCUUUCCUCUUUUAUUAUUCAAUUUCUUGAUAGUCCACUUCCUUCCUUUGUUUAAUGACGUGCUGCAUUCUGUCUUUUCUCUAUUCUUUUCUGCCCAUUUUGUUUGAAAUUAAUCCUACAACAAAAUUAACUGUACAUUAACACGAGGUAAGGUAAAAUGCCACAAUUUUGACACAAAAACAUCCAAAGACUUUAGAAAUGAAUGGUAUAAAUGCAUGAAAUAUAUGAGUGAUCAUAUAUGCUUCAAGAUUGCAUACACCAAAAAUGGCAAAAAACAAACCUUCAUAGUGAUAGUAACGAGACAAAACUUUUCGACAGCUAUAAACGAAAAAAUCACGAUUUAACGGUUAUUUUAACUCCAAUUUUGAUGAUUUUGUACAACUACACUCUUGGAUCUUAUAUGAAUACAAGGAACUGAUUCGAUCAUCAAUUUAAAACAUUUACAUAAGUGGAUACCACAAAAUCUUAUGUUAUACUUGAUGAAAGUAUAAAUAAAAUAUAAGUGUUAGGAAAUCUAUUGUUUUAAUGGGAUACGCAUUGUACAAAACAAGUUUCAAUGAUCCAACUGUCAAACUUGUUUGUAUAUGCUUCAAGAUCACAUACUCCAAAAAUGAAAAAAAAACAAACCUUCAGAGAUCAAGUAACGGGACAAAUCUUUUCGACGGUUAUAAACAAAAAAAUCACUAUUUAACGGUUAUUUUAACUCCGAUUUUGAUGAUUUUUUACAACUACACUUUUGGAUCCUAUAUGAAUACAAGGAACUGAUUCGAUCGUCAAUUUAAAACAUUUACAAAAGUGGAUACCACAAAAUCUUAUGUUAUACUUGAUGAAAGUAUAAAUAAAAUAUAAGUGUUAGGGAAUCUAUUGUUUUAAUGGGAUACGCAUUAUACAAAACAAGUUUCAACGAUCCAACCGUCAAACUUGUUUGUAUAUGCUUCAAGAUCACAUACGCCAAAAAUGGAAGAAAAAAAAAACCUUCAGAGAUCAAGUAAUGGGACAAAUCUUUUCGACGGUUAUAAACGAAAAAAUCACGAUUUAACGGUUAUUUUAACUCUGAUUUUGAUGAUUUUUUACAACUACACUCUUGGAUCCUAUAUGAAUACAAGGAACUGAUUCGAUCAUCAAUUUAAAACAUUUACACAAGUGGAUACCACAAAAUCUUAUGUUAUACUUGAUGAAAGUAUAAAUAAAAUAUAAGUGUUAGGAAAUCUAUUGUUUUAAUGGGAUACGCAUUGUACAAAUCAAGUUUCAAUGAUCCAACCGUCAAACUUGUUUGUAUAUGCUUCAAGAUCGUAUACGCCAAAAAUGGCAAAAAACAAACCUUCAGAGAUGAAGUAACGGGACAAAUCUUUUCAACGGUUAUAAACAAAAUAUCACGAUUUAACGGUUAUUGUAACUCCGAUUUUAAUGAUUUUUUACAGCUACACUCCUGGAUCCUAUAUGAAUACAAGGAACUAGUUCGAUCGUCAAUUUAAAACAUUUACACAAGUGGAUACCACAAAAUCUUAUGUUAUACUUGAUGAAAGUAUAAAUAAAAUAUGUGUUAGAGAAUCUAUCGUUUUAAUGGGAUACACAUUGUACGAAACUAGUUUCAACGAUCCAACCGUCAAAUUUGUUUGUAUAUGCUUUGAGAUCGUAUACGCCAAAAAUAGUAAAAAACAAACCUUCAGAGAUUAGGUAACGGGACAAAACUUUUCGACGGUUAUAAACGAAAAAAUCAAGAUUUAACGGUUAUUUUAACUCAAAUUUUGAUUAUUUUUUACAGCUACACUCCUGGAUCCUAUAUGAAUACAAGGAUCUGAUUCGAUCAUCAAUUUAAAACAUUUACACAAGUGGAUACCACAAAAUCUUAUGUUAUACUUGAUGAAAGUAAAAAUAAAAUAUAAGUGUUAGGAAAUCUAUUGUUUUAAUGGGAUACGCAUUGUACAAAACAAGUUUCAAUGAUCCAACUGUCAAACUUGUUUGUAUAUGCUUCAAGAUCGCAUACUCCAAAAAUGAAAAAAAAAAACAAACCUUCAGAGAUCAAGUAACGAGACAAAUCUUUUCGACAGUUAUAAACAAAAAAAUCACUAUUUAACGGUUAUUUUAACUCCGAUUUUGAUGAUUUUUUACAACUACACUUUUGGAUCUUAUAUGAAUACAAGGAACUGAUUCGAUCGUCAAUUUAAAACAUUUACACAAGUGGAUACCACAAAAGAAACAGGCAAUGCAAGAACCCCAAUAGAAAAGCAAAAGGAAAAUAAAAAAACUUUGCGCAACGGAGGUACAACCGUCGCACAAAGUUUUUUUUUUUUUUUUUUUUUUGUUCCUAUGUUCCACAGUUUUAGCUUCUUGUAUAUCUCUUCCACUCCUGCCUUAAAAUUAUUGUUUAAGGACCUAUAUGAUGAGACCACGUAUUCAAAAUCGUAAAGGGUAGAGACUACACCUAAAAUGAUUACUAACCACGUAAUAGAAUAGUGGUUUGACAAAAAUAUAAACUAGCUUUUUCUCUAAAUCUCUAACAUUCUAGUUUCCUUCUCCCAAUUUAGUGAGAAAUGAAAUCAUUUUUUAGCACACAUCAAUCUAUCCCUAAAUUGGAUCAAGUUAACUGAGCAGCUUGCAGUUUCUUAGCUUUUGUUUCCCUAAACCUAUCAAAAUCCUUCAUACUCCUAGUCAUUCAUUCUACUCAUUCAAUUGUUCAAAACCAAAACUCAACUUGUUAAAAAUAAGCAUUGACAAAGAUAAUUAAAGAAAAACAUAAAUACACAAAAAUAAAAAAAUCCGAACAUAAAUGUAAUCAAUAAAUAGUUAAUUAAUUAAUCAAAUAAAUACAAUACUUGAAGGUGAAGAUGGUGAAGGUUGAGAGAGAUGGAGAGUCUGAAAGAGAGAGGUUGAGUGUGAAGAAAAAGGCCAUUGUGUGUGGUUAUUUUAGAAAAAAAAAUCGUCGACUUUGCGCAACGCUUCAUACGUUGCGCAAAACAGCAUUGCGCGACGUAGGUUCAAUUACGUCGCGCAAAGUUGUUUUGCGCGACGUAGGUGCACAUGUGUCACGCAAAGAUGGGAUGGGUUGGCGCCAAAAUUUUACGUGCGCAAGUUUCCGUCGCGCAAACAUGUUUUUGUACUAGUGAUUGUCAGUUUUUCAAGAGAUCCUCGUAAGGACUCCAUGUUCAGGGUAUUACUGGCCCUGUUUUCAUGUAGAACCUCACACUCAGACACAUCAAGUGUUUUCAAGGAAGAAAGAUGAGUAGGCAAGUCUCCUAUCAGCUUCGGACACUCUCUUAAUAUCAGCUCCUGAAGACGAGGGAAGUCUGGACUUUCACCACCACUUGGACUAGGCUGCCAUUCCUCCACUCUGGCAUCUCCCGAAACUCUAGCUUCUCUAAACAUUGAAAUGGUUGAUUUCCCCCGUACAACUCACCACCAGCCGGCAUGUCAUAAAAUAAUAAAUCUUCAAAAUAAUCAAAAUUCGUUAAACGUCAGUUUUACUAUUCAAACCGGCAUGCUGCAACGAACAGUUAAGUAAAGGGUCCAAAACGGCAUGUCAUAAAAUAAUAAGGGUCCAAAACGGCAUGUCAUAAAAUAAUAAGGGUCCAAACCGGCAUGUCAUAAAAUAAUAAAUCUUCAAAAUAAUCAAAAUUCGUUAAACGUCUAGUAAAACGGGGGAUUGAGCACUUUUACUAUUUUGUCAUCCUCAAUUAAAUUGUCUUUUUUAAGAAUUGUGAAAAGGAAAGGGUAUUUUUAAGUGAAGAGGAUCAUCUUCUGAGUUCAGGAUGGGAAUCCUCCUGAUCUGAUCAGGUUAUCCGGAUCAUUCAAAUUUAAUUCAACGGUUGUAAUUAUUAUAACUUUUAGAGGACCCUCCUAUUUAGAACCAUUGGAUUAAAUUUGAACGGUCCGGAUGACCUAGUCAAGAGGAUCCCCAUCUUGAGCUCAGGAGGAUCCUCUUCCAUUUUUAAAUUUACACAUAUUAAUUAUGAUUCAAAAAUAAAAUUAAAUAUAUGUUUGGUUAACCGCACCCUAAAAAUUUUGAGAACCGAUUGCCAAACUGAUUGAGAUCGGUACGGUUUGGUUUAGCCAUCGAAAAUUAAAUAUAAAAAAACCAAACCUAGCUUCGGGUGGGAUUCAAACCGAUUGCCAAACGUUAUUUCCCUUUGUCACAUGUCGACUCUCGAUGUAUGUUGGGAUCCGGGCGUUACACAAACUUAAUCACCACAAAAGGGACUAAAAUGAUUAGUAUGUCAUCAAUGUGUGAUAAAAAAUUACUUUGUAGCUUCGCCACAACAGUCUACCUUUUGAGGAUCGAAAAGACUCACAGAGGCAUUUCAACCUCUCAUUGACCAUUAUCGUGUGAUACACACGCGUUAAGAAUUUAACCCAAAACAAACUGUGUAUAAUAUAUGAGUAUGAAAUUCGUUUUCAAUCAGUAGGUCAUCCCUUAGCGUGAGGGCAAUGAUAUUUUUUUCAAUAGGUCAUCCCAUACUGGAAUUGUCCCCAAUGUGUAAAAAUCACGAGCGUUAGACCAAUUCCAGCGUAUAGUUGUUUAUUUGUAAGGUUAUUUUCGUGGGGGCAAUGAUAUUAAAAUUAUGCACACAUCACACAGAAGACAAUCCCAUCUUACUUGCAUGUUGCAACGAACAGAUAAGUAAAGGGUCCAAACCGGCAUGUCAUAAAAUAAUAAAUCUUCAAAAUAAUCAAAAUUCGUUAAACGUCUAACAAAACGGGGGAUUGAGGAGUUUUAAUAUUUUGUCUUUUUUAAGAGUUAUGAAAAGGAAAGGGUAUUUUUAAGGGAAGAGGAUCCUUUCAUGAGUUCAGGAUGGAAAUCCUCCUGAUCUGAUAGGAUCAUCUGGACCGUUCAAAUUUAAUCAAACGGUUGUAAUUAUUAUAACUUUUAGAGGACCCUCUUAUUUAAAACCGUUGGAUUAAAUUUGAAUGGUCCGGAUGACUUGAUCAAGAGGAUCCCCAUCCUGAACUCAGGAGGAUCCUCUUCCAUUUUUAAAUUUACACGUAUUAAUUAUGAUUCAAAAAUAAAAUUAAAUAUAUGCGGGUCGGUUUGGUUAACCGCACCCUAAAAAUUUUGAGAAUCGAUUGCCAAACCGAUUAAGAUCGGUACGGUUUGGUUUAGCCAUCGAAAAUUAAAAAAAAAAAAAAAACAACCCAAGCUUCGGGUGGGAUUCAAGCAGUUUAGUCGGUUUUUUUUUUAAAUGCCCAGCCGUAUGUUCUACGUAGAACCCAACGUAAUUUUUUUAUCUAAAUAAUUAAGAUCCCCGUAAGCAAAUUCAUCAAUUAUACUUUACUUUAUAGAUUUUACAUUUUUCGAAUUCUUAAAAAUAUUCCUAUUACAUGUUUGAUGUAAACAAUUAAUUCUAUAUGGGUUCUUAGCUUUGAUGAUCGCUAAAGGUAAAUUUGAACCCCAUUAUUACUAACACAUUGUGAGACUUAGUCCACUCUCCAUCCUUUCAAUGUAGAUAAUAUCAUUUGUUAAAAAAAAAACAAUAUAUCUUUUACCUUUUAGUUAGUCAUAAUUUUUUCAUUUCUCCCCUCAACUCGGAGAUAAAGAGUUAUGUAUUUCAAUACAACCAUACGUAAUAAUCAAGCCCUUACUUCUAUAUAUACGUGUGUGUAUGACAAGGUGAUAAAUCAACUUAAGCCUUUUCCCAGUUCAGCAAAAAUCAUUUUGCCUCAAGCUUCUAAUGACAGUUGCAAAAAUGGAUUCUCUGCCUUAUGCAAACUCUAUCACUGCUGGCCUGUUCACAGUAAUCAUCGUGUUCUAUUACUUAUCUCGAAGAUGGAGAGCUUCCAAUCACGAGGGCAAAUUAUCACCACCAGAAGCCAAGGGUGGAUGGCCUAUAUUUGGUCACCUUCAUUUGUUCGGAGGCCCCACACCUCCUCACAUAACUUUGGGAGCCAUGGCGGACAAGUACGGACCCAUUUUCACUAUCCGCCUUGGCGUCCAACCGUCGUUGGUGAUAAGCAGCAGUGAGAUCGCAAAAGAAUGCUACACAACCAAUGACUUGAGCAUACUCGGUCGCCCAAAGAUGGUGGUUGCAGAUCACGUUACCUACAACUAUGCCAUGUUUGCGUUCGGACCACCUGGACCCUAUUGGCGACAAAUUCGCAAGAUCGUUACCUUGGAGUUGCUCUCAGUCCGGAAGGUUGAGCUGCUCAAGCACAUUCGAGUGUCGGAAGUGGCUACUUUCUUAAAAGAAUUGCACGACCAUUGGAGUACAAAGAAAAAGGAGGGCUCGAAAGAUGGAGUGGUUGUAGAGCUAAAGCAAUGGUUUGGGGACAUGAUGCUGAACGUUAUUCUUACAAUGGUGGCUGGAAAGCGGUUUUCGGUGGCUGCCACUGGGGGGAUGAGAGAAAAGAAGCGCGUAGGGUUCAGACUGCAUUGAGGGAGUUCUUUGAUUAUCUGGGCAUGUUUUUGGUGGGUGAUGCGGUUCCUUAUCUGCGGUGGUUGGAUUGGGGUGGACAUGAGAAGGCAAUGAAGAAAAGUGCAACGGAAAUGCACGCCAUUAUUGCAGAGUGGCUUGAAGAGCAUAAGCAGAGGAGAGCAAAAGGUGAUGCAAAAGGAGAAAAGGACUUCAUAGAUUCGUUGCUUUCUGUGCUUGAUGGUGCGGACCUUGGCAGUUUCGAUGCUGAUACGAUCACCAAAGCCACAAGCGUGGUACGUAUAUAUAAUUUAUUAAAUUUGCAGGCAAAUAAUUAACCAUAAAAGGCUGGAGUUAGACACUAUACACAUAAAGAUUUUAUUUUUACUUUUCAAUACUUAUAAGCUAAUUGCAUAGUCUAUAAAAAGAAAAUGAAAACAUUAGACGAUAAUAUUUUUUUUUUUUAAAAACAAAUUAUGUCCAAUUUUAUAUAUGACUCAUGUGACAUAUUUGUCGGCUCACCAAUGGGUGAUGGUAAAGAGAUUAUCUUCUUAGACUGUAUAUGUAGAAUACAUGAUGUAGCGAUUGUUAGAUUCUUUCUUUAAAUCUUUAAUAAUGAAAUCCAACCAUCAAUUAUCAUAUUCUUUGAUUUACAAGAUGUGAUUUAAAAAUAUAAUCACUAACAUUUUCGUCGCCUAAAGAACGUAUAAAUGUUAAUCAAGCAAAUAUUCCUUGGGCAGAAUAUUAUUGCAGGAGGUGGCGACACCACCAUGGUGCCAUUGACGUGGGCAAUAUCAUUAUUGGUGAACAACCCUCAAGUUUUGAAAAAAGCUGUAAACGAACUGGACACCAAAAUAGGCAAACAAAGAGUUGUGAGUGAGGAAGAUAUAAGCAACUUGGUCUACAUCCAAGCUAUUGUAAAGGAGACGUUACGUUUGUACCCAGUAGGACCAUUAUCAGGGCCGCGUUUAUUCACCGAAGAUUGCACCAUUGCUGGCUACCAUAUCCCAAAGGGCACCCGGUUGAUCCCGAACUUCUGGAAGAUCCAAACUGACCCGAAAAAUUGGCCUGAGCCAUUCGAGUUCAAGCCAGAGAGAUUUCUUACCACACACAAGGAUGUUGAUCUGAAGGGUCGGCAUUUUCAGUUUCUUCCUUUUUCAAGUGGUAGAAGAUCAUGUCCUGGUUUGGCAUUUGGUCUUCAACUGGUGCAAUUUACAUUGGCUAGUUUUCUGCAUGCGUUUGAAAUCUCAAACCCGUCGAGUGCACCAAUUGAUAUGACAGAGAGUUUUGGAAUAACCAACGUUAAGGCAACUCCACUCAAUGUUCUCAUCAAACCUCGUUUAUCUUCUGAACUUUAUAAAUAAAAGAAGAAAAUACAGAAUAUUAUGUGUACGAUAUGAAUAAGAGAUUUUCGUUGUUAUUAGUUAUGUAUAAUUAUGUGUCCAUCUUUGUAAUCGUAAAAUCAAUAAAUCAACUGCCAAUGUAAGAUACAAAACCUAGCAAUAAUGGGUGUUUGAGAAUGGGUAUAUUUAGCAAUAAAAAAGUACCCCAAAAAAGCCUCUAUUUACAUUUUCAAUUGGGCUAUCUUUUGGGUCUGUUGCCUCCGGAUUUUUUGAUUUUCAAUUUGUUUGUAAAGAACCCACCCAUUUGCCAGCAUAAACAGGACAAAUUAAAAUAGUCUGAAGUGCAAAAUUUGCAUAGCAAUGACAUGUUUACUGCUUAAAUCACUUUGCAUAUCAGUAAUGUGAUAUUUCUAGCAUUAUUUGUAGGGCAGAAAAGAAAUCCAAGUAAACCGAAUUCGAUCCGAAAAAUUUAGGCCCAACUUGAGAAAAGCCAAACCUGAAAAUUCCAAAUUAUUUGUUAUCGAAACCAGUGUUCUAAAAAUCGGCCUAGGCGGCCGCCUAGGCACUGGGCGGAGGUGUGCCGAGGCGAUUAGGUCCGAAUCGUUAAGAAAAAUCGGGGAGCUGUUAGGCGCCCGCCUAGGCGUUCUUAGGCGGCCUGGGCGGUCUAGGCGGCUAUCUAGGCGGAGUGAAACGAUUUCCUGGGAAGAAAUUCCAAACAGAAAUCGAAAAUCACAAACUCAAAUUUAAACUUGAAAUUAACAUGCAGAGCAUGGGUUAAGCUACCUGAGUUUCUAACGGGACUAACUCGAGCUCAUGGGACCCCAAGUUCGACGGGUCCCUCGCCGGAGCUCCACGCCAGAAGCUCAAUUUUCAAAGGUUGUAGUUCGAUUCCAUUAGAGCAACUCUCACCGAGAGAACCCCUGCUUGGAUUCUCCUACUUUCCAUUAAAUCAAAACAGGAAUGGCACCAGUCAAUGAGGGAGAAAGGAAACGAGGGAAAGGAGGGAGAGGAGAAGAAGAGAACCGGUCAAUCCAGUUUUUCCACCCGACCCGCCAACUUGACCCACUCAUAUCUCUUCCAUACGAACUCCGUUUUGGGUGAUCUUGGUGUCCAUGGAAAGCCCUUGACGAGCCCUACAUCUCUGUAGUGUUAGAUUUCCCAAUUUGUUUCCCAUUUUUCUAGUUCGAAGCCACAAAGCCCAUGGCUUUUUCGAUGGAUUUAAUCUUUUUUCGGUGGCUCCGGCAAGCUUCACCAUCGAUGACCACCACCAAAAGACUCCUCUCAACCCUAGGAGCAACGCCCAAGCCUUUGAUGAGGUGACGAAGUUCGUUUUGGUGACGAAUCGACAACUACCCAAAUAGGGUUUCUGGCGGGUUCGAGUCAAUUUGGAGCAUUUUCCAGCCAAAUUGGACUUGACCACAGGUAAAAGUUUGUUUUACUCUUUGAGAUCUUCAUUUAUAUAAAAUUUGAGAAUUUUUGGAAAUAGUUGAAAUUUUCCGGCGAGUCUGGAUGGCUGACCGCCACCCAUGGCAGUGAGUGGCCAGAGGGUCGUUGAUGCUAAUUUUAGGCUAAAUUAGAUACCUUGAUUUCAGUUUUGAUAUUCGUAUGAUGUAGGUUGAUCGUUUGAACCUAAAUUCACUACGAUACCUUACUUGAUCAAAAUAAUGAAUCGACGAUCCGACCGUUAGAUUGUCACUAAACUUUGAGACCUUAUCGUAUGUAAUAUUUCAGGACCUUAGGAUUUUAAAGAUCGGGAAUCCAACGUACGAAUCUUCCCGAAUUGGAUUUUCAAGUUUAUAAAAUAAAACGUUGACUGCCACGUGAUUUCAUGAUUGGCGGAGAUCCGACCGUUGGAUCGGAAUGAAAUUUUAGUAUGUUGUUCUAGAAGCGUAAGGUGAACUACGAAUGGCUUGAUCCCUUCGUUUAGUGUAUGUUGGCAGUCUAACUAGGAUGUUAGAUGCAGCCAUAAAUUAAACAAAAUGAUUAUUUUUUUUAGUGUAGUUAGUUAGAAUUAUAAUUAACCAUUAUUUUAUUGUGGCCUACCUGUGUGUUUGGCUUCCGAAUUAGAAAUUUCGGGUCGUUACAAUGAGGGUACAAUUCGGAAUGGGGAUAUGCAGGUAUAUAUUGAUUUCAUAUCUGUUGUAUUGGUUGAAGCUUUAUUAACGGUACUAGAGUUGUUAAAUUUGUCCACCAUAUAUAUUCAAUAAAUUAUGUCCCAAUGUUGUUGUUGCUGUUACUCAAUAAUGGGGUUUCUUAAGGUAGACUGUUAUCAAGUUCGAAUUUUCUAAUUUUCUUUCUACAAAUUAUUUUGUGUUUUAGGAACUGUAGUUGUAUAAUUUUAAGUGACUGAAAAUUGGAUUUGGUGAUUCUCUGUUUUUUUUUCUUUUAUUAUUUUUAUUAAUUGCCAUAUACAACUUUUGUGUAGGUUUAUGUUGCUGUAAUUUUGCAUUGCCUAUUGAAUAACACAUUAUAAUCUUCCAAUAAAUGGAGUCUUUGUCACUUAUACAUCAUAUAUUGCAAUCAAAUAAGGUGAAUUCUAAAAUAAUGGAGUCUUAGGCUCUUAAUGCAGAUAACAUUGUUUGUUCAAAAUAAGUACGAAGGUGAAUUCCAAAAUUAAAAGGAAACCCACAAUUUCUUACAAAAUUAUAAUAAACGCAUCUCUGUUAAUAGGUGUUGACGCUGUAUCACAAAAAGUCUUAUUGCAGUAAGCAAAUCAUUUGUUAUAUUAUUUUAUUAUACUUUAUGUUCUUGGUACAUAAAAGUUGAGAGAGGGAGAGAUGAGGCACUCUUACCUAGGCUAAGAGCAACUUCACCACCGUUGCUUAUUACCUUGGGGAAAUACCCAACUACUCCACUUCCUUAAAACACUCCACCCUACUCGAGCAAUUGGGCUCAAGGCGAGCUCGAUGGAUUAGUCAGACAAUAAUCAUUUGGCCCAGUGUCCUGUUUAUAUGAUGCAAGGCUGGCAUCAUUCACAAUUUAAUUUAGGAAAUUGUUAUUGGCACUCCAAAUUUCUCAUUUUACACUCUAAAUUUUUUAUAUUUAGAAAGAAAAAUACAUUUGUGAUGAGUGUAGAAUGAGAUUUUUGUAGUGUCAAUAACACUUCCCUUUAAUUUAUUAAAAAUCAUUAUAAAAUAUUAAAAAAACUAAUUACAAAUAUAAAAAAUUAGAAUUUUUUCUAUAAAUACCUAUCCACGUUCUUUCACUUUACACUACAUUUCAACAUUUUCAAAUACAUUCACCAGUUUUUUAUUAUUAUUAUCCUAAAUUAAAAAUAAUAUUAUCUUUCAUUAUUUUAUAAAACAAAAAAUACUAAUAUUUUAAUACGAAUUGCCUAGGCUAUUCAGUUUAGGGGUGGAGAUGCACUUAGGCAAUUAUUUUCACUGCCGACAGUUACUAUUCAUUUAAGGGGAUUGAGUUGCCUGUUGCCCAAAAGGGGCCUUACUACACUGGAACUACUCUAAGGUAUACCACAAGCCUCAUUGAGGAUUUAGACAGGAGUCCUAAUUCCUUUUUUUAGUUUUUACAUAUUGCUCAUCAAGAGGGAUUGUCGGCAUCGAAACUCGAAUUUAGACCUUUAUAUUAUUUACUCAUGUUGACUAGUUUAUUAUACUUUAGUAAUAGGCUAAAUAGCUAAAAUGGUCCCUGAUUUGCAUAAUCAAUAGAAAUGGUCAUUGUGAUUGUCCACCAUCCAUGAUUCUUUUGGGCAAUUUUCAAAACUUCGUAACUCAAUUAAUUCUAAACCAAAUUCGAUCCAUAAUAUAUCAAAAUGAAGAUAGGAAAGUGUAAAACAAGAUUAUACCUAUUUGGAAGCCCAAUGGUUGCCGGAUAUAACCCGAAAAUAGCCUGAAAGGUGGCUGGUCCGCGGAAAAACUGACAACUCGCCGUAAACUGUGUAAACUUUAAACGUUCAUAACUUCUUCAAUACUCAACGAAAUCGAGUGAUUCUGUUUGGGCUCGAUUUUACAAUAUCGGCUCGAGCCAUCAAGGUCGUUGAAUGAGUAGGUUCUAGGCCGUUGGAUUUCUUAUUUUUCUAGAUAUUACUAUUGGAUUAUUAUAGUAAUUAUCUUAUAAAAUAUAUUUUUGGAAGCAAAGGAGAUCAAUUUCAGUUUGAAUUGCUACACUUACAUGAUUGGUUUGAGAGCUAACGUGGCAAGUUAAAAGAUUAUCUUCCCUGCAUUUAUGCAAAUACAAUGGGGUAAAAGAUGAGAUCAUAUUGGUCAAGGUUAGUUGGCGUGGAUAAAAAUGAUCUGAUGACCUUCUUUGGUUGGUCAACGAGGUGAAAUAGGUGAUCAGGAAAUCAAUGCAUGCGUUGGAUAAAGAUUACGAUGUUGAUGGAAUUACGAUAAGGGAAAAGUAAAAAUGGUGAUGUGCUUGAAAGAUGACUUUACACGUGGUGGUGAUAAAAGAUGGCAGUAAUUAUCUUGUUGAGUAGGCUAAAUGAUUUAGCAUAUUGGUAUAGACUUUUGCGUUAUGAGCCAGCAUGUGGUUGAUGGAUAUUUGGGAUAAUUCAAGAGGUUUAGUCUCGGUUGGUUUCUAGGAAAUCACCAAGGCCACGGGAUCAAUUUGGGAUAAUUUGAGAAGUUUAAGUCUCGGUUGAUUUCUAAGGUUAAGGGAUCAUGCAUACUUGAGAGAAUAUUCCCAUUAUUGACGACGACAAUCCUAGUGUUCUGCUAUUAUAAAUACAAGGGGUCAUCAUUCUAAAGGUCCCUUUCAAUUCAACACACAACUACCCUGCGCAAAUUCUCUCAACAACCUUGAGACUUUUUCCUUUUCUAUUUUCGCUGACACACCUUCAGUUUGGAUAAACAGCACUGUGAAGGCAACCGGUAGUAUCUUCAAUCGGCAUACAUAACACUGUCACUGUAGAAUCAGCCGACCUCACAGCAUCUUCAGUUUGGAUAAACAGCAUUGCGUCGAGGGCGACUGGUUAUCUAUCCAAGUCUUGAUCGAGAAGGAUUUCCGAGUCCUUGUUGGUUGAGGUCAUCUCAUCAGCCUUCUCGGCGAAGUGAGGUGUUAUAGUUUAUUGGGCUCGGCACACUACACGCCGAGUUAUUUUAUGAUUGGAUACUCACAAGUGGGAUUUAAAGUUUGGCAUUCAAACGGCCGAACCACGUUUACUGUUAAGACUUAUAUUUGCUUUGAGUAUUUAUGCCCUUACACUUUGGUGUCGAUUCAGCGUGAGUUUACUCUGACGAAUAUUAUCACUGUGACCGAAUUCGACGACAACGAUUUGUGAACUUCGUAAGAAUAGUAGCCUUGUCUUCAGGUUCGAGAACCCAAGAGGCCGAGACGUGUUCCUUCCUCGGUCGCAAUAGCAAGACGCAAAAGUCGACCGCAUACCCAACGCAACGUCAACAAAUUUUACUCAUUGGCCGAGCUCGGUCGACGAGUUGGCACGCCCCGCACACAACCGAAGGACGUAGUUAGCUCAUAGAUUACUUAGCCUGCGUGCCACGUAGGCUUGGUAGUUUUUAGGGUCAACAUUUUGGCACGUCCAGUGGGACCUAGUGCUAAUACUACGAAGUUCAUAUGAUAUAUCAAGAUUCCAAUCUCGUUCAAUGCAGCUGAUUGUGCGAGCUCUUAGAGGAAUUGAAAAAACACAAUGAGGAACGUAAAAAAUCUUAGGAAGUGGAAAAAGUUCUUCGUGGCCAUAGAGAGAUGCAAAAGUCAUUCGCUUACAUGUUGAGAAUAAACGCUCAUGUUACCCUGCAUGAGCAAAGGGUACAUGAAGACAGGGCUCGAUUUAAUGCCUGGCUAGAUGGAGAACAUUUUCCUUACGUUUUCGACUACUUAUCAAUUCCAUUUGAGGAAUGGUUGGUUGAAAAUACCGGGGGGUAAUUUUUCGCUCCGGCCGUAAUCAAACAUCGGCCUAAGAAAAUUGUUAAUUUGGCCAAAGAACAAAGGCCACCUAUUUUUUCGGUCGAGGCUGAAAAUAUGGUCGGCCAAGACAAAAAACCUAGGCCACCUAUUUUUUCGGUCGAUAUUGAAAGUGUGGUAGGCCUAGAAGGAAAAAUUCAAGUUUAUGAGCCACAAAUCGACUCAGAAAAUGAUUCGACUGAACAGUGCUCCAAUGAUGAACAAGGCUGAGACAUAGGCCUAGUCGGAAAAACCACGACAAUUGAUAUGAUUAUUGGUGAUAAAGCCGAUAUGGAGAAAUCUCAUUCGGUUAAAUUGUUUAAGUUAAAAGUUGAAAUUGGCAAAAUUAUUAUGCCCGGGGGGCGUAGUAAUUGUUCAAUACAUUCAGUAGUCGAUGAUAAAAAAUAUUUCACUAAGUCAAAAGUAUUUGGAGAUGAUUCUUUAUUCGGCCUAGAGCAAAAUCAAUUUCAAAAUUUUGUUAUUACAAGAUCUCGGCUUGGAAUAAAGCAUCGUUGGCCUUCUCCUGACUAUGGUUCGGCUACUUUUAUUUCCAUUUAAAAAAAAUAAAAAAGAAUAAAUUAUUUUCUUAAUCAUCUGGCUAAUUAAGUCGAUGCAUAAGAAAAUAAGGGGGCAACAACACUGCAACAAUCCAAAUAUAUAUAUAUAUAUAUAUAUUAGUUGGCCGAGGAAGUAAUCCAAAUUUGCUAAGAAGACGUGAUAUUGCAGCAUGUAUUUCAUUGUGUGUUUUCUGACGGUCGAGAGUCGGAAAAAAAAAAAACACUUUCAGCCUUUUAGGCCGAGGAUAAGCAAGAAGCAUAAGGGAUUUCAAAGGCCAAGAGUCGGGAAGAAAAUUCAGUGGAAUUGGAUUUCGGUGGGUCUGCACGGCCUUGGAUCUCACUGAGGUGAGGUUUACUGUUAAGACUUAUAUUCGCUUUGAGUAUUUGUGCCCUUACACUUUGGUGUCGAUUUGGCGUGAGUUUACUCUGACAAAUACUAUCACUGUGACCGAAUCCAACGACGACGAUUUGUGAACUUCGUAAGAAUAGUAGCCUUGUCUUCAAGUUCGAGAACCCAAGAAGCCGAGAUGUAUUCCUUCCUCGGUUGCAAUCACAAGACGCAGAAGUCGGCCGCGCACCUAACGCAACGUCAACAAAUUUUACUCCUCGGCCGAGCUCGGCCAAUGAGUUGGCACGCCCCACACACAACUGAAGGACUUAGUUAGCUCAUAUAUUACUCGGCCUACGCGCCAUGUAGGCUUAGUAGUUUUUAGGGUCAACAGAUUCAAAAACGAAAAAAUCAUACUUCUUGACGAGACGAAGAUAAUGGUACUUUUCUUGACCGCUAACUCGUCGUGGUUUGGCAGGAAAAAAGCUCGAAAGUGCCACUUUCGAGCCCUUUUUUUAUUUUUUAUUUCUCAGGUGAUUAAUACAAAAAAUAAGUGAGGAAUUUUGACAUGCAUCAAANAAGCAUAAAAAUUACUUUUGUCGAAUUUACUUUUUCUCAUAAGCUUAAGAACUACUGCUUACAUAACUCAUAAGAACUUUUAAUUCUUUCUUGGGGUAAAAGUGAAACGACAUAGGUCAUUAAGGAUUAAGCGAGUCGAAUCAGUCUUUAGAACUCGGUCGUCGAUUUGCUUCAACAGCCUACCUUCCCCCGCUGGGAGCGAUUGUGAUUUUUCAAAAUUUGAAGUCCUCAGAAAAGAAUUCAAUUCCAUUGGGUUGAGUGUCAUUGUCCUCAUCGUCGGCAUAUUCGAUGGCUUUGUGGGUAGUGUGUACGUGACCAUGAGUUUUGGUUAAGCAUGCCCUCCAUAUUUGAUUUUCAAUUCCUACACAAAUAGAAGUAUGCAACAAUCAGGUACGCAUUUACAUCAAUGAAUAAUAGAGGGGAGAAGAACAAGGUAGGGAUGGGAUGGAUCUUGACCCACAUGGAAUUGAUGUGUGAUUCUAUAGGAAUUGUGACCAACCAAAUGUUUAGGUUUAUUUUUUUUUCCCAAAUCUUUUCAUUUGAAGGAGAAAAUAUGUGUCCUUUGUCAUAUAUAAAAUAUAUAUGCCCUACCAGUCACCUAGUUGAUCAUUUGGGUAAUCAAAUUAUCUGUAUUAAAUUGUGGAGCACUUCCUUCUAAUACAGGUAAUACCCAUUAAUCUAAUCUAAUUGAUACAUUACAUUACAAAUUUUGUUUUUUUUAAAUGUGAUUAGUUGGUAGCUUCACUAUGACAGUUCACCUUUUUUAGGGCCGAAAAGACUCACAGAAAUAUUUCAGACUCUCCAUAGGCACUUCAUCAGCUCUAGAAAUCGAAUACAAUACGUAUUAUGUAGAAUACGAGCCAGAUACCAUUUCUUUAAUUAAAAACAAAUAUUGGUUUAAAAAAUCAAGGUUUUGGUCCAAUGUGCAUUUUCAGCACUCAACCAAAAGCAAAACACUUCACGAAUCAUGGCCAUGAGAUGUGCCCUUUUGACAAAAAAUUAAUAAGUAAUUAAUUUGGCUUUGACAACCCCAAUUAUCCCCUAGAUAAUACCAUUUUAUAAUCCUAAUGAUUAAAAUAUUGAAUCAAAGGUUUCACAUGGUGGUUAGUCGCUAUCGAAUAAAUCUAAUUGAUGCUACAACACAACAAGUUGUCCCACUCCACAUGAUGCUUCAUCCGUGUAAUCCAUAUAUAAACCAAUCUUUCCAAUACCUAAUUAAACCCCGUAUUUAAUUAUAUUAUCAUCCCAGAAUCAUGUGUACAUUUUUAUGUUUAUAUAUAUUGGAAAAUAUAUUUUUAUUUAUUUAAUUCUCUAAUCAAUGAAUUUGAGCAAGAUGCAUAUGGUCAUGGUUUGCUGAAAGCAUAUAGAAUAUCAUCAAGGUGACAAAUUAAUCCACAGAACAUAUUUUGAAUGAUGAAACUUGUAGUAAAAAUCACUCUCUAUUUUUUAUUUUAAACCUUAUGUUUUCAAAAAUGUGUCCAUUUUUUCUUCUUCUAUGUAAGCUAAUUGGAAUUAAUUUCAACUGCGGAUCCAAAAAUUAUACUCAUGAGGUCUUGGUGUAUAUAAGAUUUAUGUCUAGUUAGAGCAUUGAGGCAUUUUGUCAAGCAUUUUAGUUGCAUGUAAACAUUUGUCAAGCCAUGUGCUAGGCGAUCGAUAUAUGGAGAGCCAUGUUGCAUCUAUCAAGCAAUGUUGUUGAAGCUUGCCAAGCAUCAUUACCGAGAUCUGUCGAGCAUGCAUAUCAUCAAAACAUUAGUAGGAAAGGGACCUACCAAUCCAUUCUCCUAUCUUUCGGGGGUCUUGGGACCUGAUGGCCCUUUAAUGGUGUAGAGAGCUACUUCCGUAUUCGAGACCAGAAUAUCGUCUCUCGUUUUCACCUCCUUUGCAAUGAAGAAAAAAACUCAAAAAAGGAACUAGAUUUCCCACAAUUAGCCUGCCAGCUGAAGCAACGUGACUGAAUUACUUAAGCUUGAAUUAACCCAAUAUCAAGCUAAGAGAGUUAACCGCACUUUCAAUACACUUCCAACCCCUAUACCAAUAAUAUUGUUCAACCCAUUAAUUAAAUUUCAUUGCCUCUACCAACCAACAGUCCAGAAAACCAGCUGAAAACUUAUGUGUUUGCCAAUAUGUUAGUUGCCCUCUACCCAUCUCCCAUCUUCCAUCUUCCCAUGAUUCAAGCAAGGGCAACCUUCUCUAUCUUUAUUUCUUCUUUAUUCAAGUUUCUGUUAGAGGUCGCACUUGGUGUGAUGGCAAGUGCCUCGCCCAUGAGCGGUAGUCUCGGGUUCGAGACUUGGGAGCAGCCUCUCCAUAAAUGGGGUAAGGCUAGCCGACAUUCACCUCUCCCAGACCCUGCUAAAGCGGGAGAGCCUUGUGCACUGGGUAGACCUUUUUUUAUUCAAGUUCUGUUACAUUUUCAUUUGUCUUCCCAACGGCAACGAAAGGGGAUUGACAUAGCUUGAGAGACCUAAUUGUUUUUCUUGAUCAAACUGAAACCCCAAACUGGCAUUGUCAUAAAUUUCACCAAAUGAAACUAUUAGCUAAUAUCUUGUAUUUAGCUCCGGAAUCCGAUCCAUUUGAAUAUUACAAAUGCAUACGAUACGUCAAUUACUUCCAAAUGGAAUACAUAUAACGAGAGCCACUAUGUUAUCUAUUUAUCAGUCACAAUUGCAUAACUAGACGGCUUUUGAUUUAAGUGAGUUUUUUUAUACUUUAAUCAUAACCUAGAAAAUGAUCGUUCAGUUAUAAAAAUAUUGUACAAUAAACAUAUAUUAAUGAUUAGAACGUCGUAAAUUACUUACUGGUUGACUUGAACGGUCUAUAUUUUAAUAUGAACAAAGAGAUAUCCAACAAAUUGGUCAAUUUUGGAGCGAGGAUCCCUGUGAUUCUCAAAUCACAUCCGUUCAUCAUACAUCGUAUGGUCAAAAAUCAUUGUAAAUUUUUUAUUUAAAAUUGAAUAUAAAUAGUAGUUAUGAAAACUGAUCGACGAUAUACGAUAAAUUGAUGUAAAAUUCCCAAAUCUUCCCAAAGAGAUCCGGCAAAUCCUCUCUCAUUUCCUUGCCAUAAGAUAUUGCAUUUGGUGGCAAUGAAAAAUACUAGCACGCAUAAUCAUAUACAAGUAAACCAAAUGUUUAAUUAGAUAUUUGCAAGUACAAUCUACAUGUUCGAUUUGAGUACAAGACAACUUUGCCUAACAAGAAAAAAAUACAAGGUGAAGAGACAAGAAGACUCAUAUGAUGACUAGGGUUUCGAUUAAUUUUGGUUAAUAAGUCAAAAAAAUUUGGCAAAGAACGGUAGUUGCCCAAGUCUAAUCCUUUGGAAUACAAAUGAGCAUACUCAAACUACACAAAAACAUAAACUUGUUUUAAAUGUUAAAUUAGGUUAUGUCUUGUCAUUGGGCUAUUUACAUUAUUAGUGACAUGAAAAGUUGUCAACUCAAAAAUGAUCAAAUGUAAAGCAAAUAACAUUUAUUAGUGACAUAUAACAUUUUAGUUAAAAAAGAGCCAUGUCAAGUAAAAGUUACUCAACAGAAUAGAAAGUUAGAUUUGAUUCAACCAUUCCAUUAUACAUACACAACUCGUUAAACUCACCGUCACUUAGUCCUAUAUAAAUUUACGUAAGAAUAAUUCUCACUGAAGAUUACUUUAAGAUCAUCUUCAAUAUAGAUGUCAAUUUAAUUUUAUACCAUGUGGAGAUAAAUUUUUCCAGGAGCUUGAGAAGAAAUGUGCGGUGUACAUGCGACGCGAUGUGUACGGCACCAUGGGACGCGACGGAUUGCCGGUGAAGGAGAAAGUGCUGCUAGGGCUCGCGCUGGUGACUCUGGUUCCGAUACGGGUGGUUCUAACGACGACGGUGUUGGUGCUGACGACGACGGUGUUGGUGCUGUACUACUUGAUUUGCCGGAUUUGCACUCUCUUCAAAGUCCCCAAUCACGAUGAGCAGGAGCAGGAGGAUUACGCGCACAUGGGAGGAUGGCGGCGGGCGGUGAUUGUCCAGUGCGGCCGCGCCUUAUCCAGAGUAAUGCUCGUUGUCUUCGGCUUCUAUUGGAUCAGCGAAACCCAUCGAAUAUCAUCGGAUUCUGACCCCAAACCCGCCGCCCAGGUACUCUCUCUCAUCGUUUCUCUCUCUAAAGCAUGAAAAUUGAUUUCGUGAGAUUUUGAGCAGUGAAUUUUGAUGUUAAAUUUUUGGUUAGGGAAAAGAUGGGGCCGAAGAGAAGGAGCCUGAAAGGGCAGGGGCGAUUAUAUCGAAUCACGUUUCGUAUUUGGAUAUCUUGUAUCACAUGUCUAAUUCGUUUCCGAGCUUCGCUGCCAAGGUUUGCCACUCUCUUCACUUGUUCUUACUAAUUUUAUGGCACCGGAUGUGAAUUUUGAUUGAAAGAUGUUCCAUUUUUAUCUAUCUCGACCUAUUAUCUAUGUAUUGAUUCCCAUUUUUUGUUAUCCUGGAUUUUGUUGGUGAAGAGAUCGGUGGCGAAAGUUAGUAGUGUUAGACCGGGUCGUUAGUUUGUUUGAAGUCUUGUAUUUGGUUUCAAAGACUUCUCUCUUCGGAGUUGGAUAGGCUUAGGACUUUAUGUAAAUAGGGUUUUCAAACCCUGAAUGUAAUCUAUAUAUUGGCUAUAAAUAUACGCAACCCAAGUCUUUCUGGGUAUGCAAAGUUGAUGUGAAGCAACCCUCUUGUCAAAUAUACAAAACCUGCAGUCUCUUUUCAAAGACUGUUUCAUUUGCUUUCGCUUCCUUUAAUUUCAUUAUGUUUCUGAAAAUCUGUAGUUUAUCUGUCACCAUAGUAUUCCGUCAAUUCAUUUUCGGAUUGUUAGUUUUGACAGCAAGUGCCUGGGUUGUGUCUAUAUUCAGCGGGAGUUUUGUAAACACUCGUAAUGUGUUCACCGUAACUCGUGUGUUAUUGGAGGUAUCUAAGUUGAAAACUAUGAUCGAUCACAAGCGGAUUAUAUAACGAGUUUUCGGUUGGCUCCAGAGAGGAAGUAGCUGAACACCGAUUAUCCAAGAGGGUUCGAGUCAGAUUGUUGCUUACGGGAGGAGGUAAGAGCUCAGAACUAAUGGGAGAUUUCUCCAUGGCAUUGGCUUUUGCACUCUAAAAUGGAGGAAAGCUCGGGAGGACGGAUACAUCUAGCACAAGUUCAAUGCUUUAAAUGAAGUUUAUAAAAUUAACGAUUUAAGUUUUUAUGAUGAAAAUACAUUAUUCAAAAAAGGUGAAAUAUGUUCAUUACCCUGUGUGAAGAACGCGAGUAUGGAAGGAUUCUACUAUAAAAAAUAAGGGUGGGCAUAAAAAUCAUGGAACCGUGAAACCGAAUCGAACCACAACAAAAGAGACCAUAAAAUACAGUGUUGACAAAAAAAAAUAAUAAAUAAGUCAACUUAGGUUAUAGAACCGGACUGAAUCGUUCAUACCAAUUUCGAUUCUAGUUUUCACCUUAGAAGAACCGGCCAAACCAAAAUGAACGGCGAUUUUAAAUAAUUAAUCAAAAUUUAUUAGUUGUAUACAAGCGUCAUUAGAUAAGUGGUAAAAAACAAAUUGGUUUCACGUACUGCAACUGCACUUAAUCAUUUCUCAAUUAGGUUUUGUGUUCUUUCUUUUGAUCGAAUCGUCAUUCCUUAGUGCCUCGCUCGUUUGAUCCUCCUCCUCCAGUCCUUCCUCUCAUGAUAUUGGAAUCAAUUGUAGCAAUGCAAAUGGGCAUUCAAGGCCAGAUAAUUUAUUCCCUUCUGUGAUUUUUAUAUGGCAUUUGACUUGGUCUUGUACGUUGUGCUCUCAAAAAUUUAAUCAUGCCAUCAUGACGUAUUUCAACCAGUUACCACUUCUUGGUUCUUGGUUUUCUUACAAAGUCGGACUCAUAUUCGUUAUUUGGGCUGCAAGUAAUAAAUGCCCAAGUCUCCUCUGGAUCUCCCAAAAAAAAUAUCUAUCGUUAAAAGGAUAAACUCUAGACUAAUAAUACCAUAACUUUAACUAUUUAAUUAUUGAAUCAAUUGAUACUUUUAACAAUAAAUUAAAAAGGUGUUUCAAAGUUUUGACCUUGAGUAAGGACUUACUGAUCACUACUUUUUUCGUUAUUGAUACCAGCGUUUGUUUAUACAUUUUGUGUGUAUGAAUAUUUUUUUUAAAUGAGAAGGAGAGAGAGAGAGGUUUUUGUUUUUGGUUUUAUUUUUUAUUUAUUUUAAAUAUUACAAAUACUUUAACAUAACCUGUGAGGUUUCAAUAAAAACAGUAAAAUUUAGACCUAUGAAAUUACAUUAUUGCUCAUUAUUUAUUUUUUUUUAUGAUAGAAGACUAAAUAGUAUUUUCACCCUCUUUUGAUUGACAAAGGGAGUUAUAUUAACUAAUAGAAAUGCAGUAAUGAUAACUCGUCCUCCUUCAAAGUAACAUGGUGCGAAUUGGUCGACGAGCGGGUUAGGGGUGGCUGUCGAGAUGAUGGGGUGAUUGACUUUUUGUGAGUUUAUUUGUAUUUCUUUAAUUUUUAUUAUAAGAAAAGGAUAAAUUGCAUUUUGCACCCUUAAAUUUUAGUGAGAUUGCAUCAUCAUAUAAUAACUUUAAAAUAUUUCAAUCUCAUAUAUUUACUUAUCAUUUAUUUCAAUUUUAAACGUUCGUUAAAAAAUCUAUUAAGUUAACAGUUAAGUGAUGAUGUGGCAAAUAUAGAGUCCUUGAAAAGAAGACAAAAGGAAAAAAAAAGAAUAAAGCUUUAGUUAACGUUCCAUUAAAAGAUAGGCUUUUUAAUCAAAAUAGUCCUUGAGAUUUGCAUAACACAUCACUUUGGUCCAUAAGAUUUGAAAUCAAUAGAAGUGGUCCUUGAGAUUGUCCACUAUCAAUCAUUUUGGUUCUUAUGUGCAAAAUUAUGUUAAAUAAGGAUCAAAAUGAUAAAUAUACCUUCAAUUUAAUAAACAAUGGGCCAAAAUGAUUUGACAAAAUUAAGAGUAUUUUUUCAUUAUAUUCUUAUUUAAUGAAGAUUUUUAAAAAAAUGACCAAAAUGAUUGAUGAUGGACAAACUCAAGGACCAAUUCUAUUGAUUUCAAAUCUCAAUGAUCAAAGUAAGGAGUAAGGAGUUAUUAAAUCUCAGUAACCAUUUUAGAUAAAAAGCCUAAAAAAUAUCUAAUGGCUGAGCAUGUGAAUCCUCAUUUUUUACCUUCACCUGAAGAACCUAAAUAUUAUAAGAUUUAAUUUAAUUCAAGUCCAAUUUGAGAGUCAAUAUUAAGAAUAGUCCAUUUCUCGUGAUCUUUGACAUAAGUUCAUUCCACGUCAUCUAUUAUAUAUAAAGAGAGAAGAAAAGGUGAAUAGUAUUUUGGUGUCACCAAGCUUCAACAAAAGAAAGGGACAAAAAUGCCCCAUAAACAAAAAACUUCAAAGGCAUCCCAAAAUAAUGCAUCAAAUAAGGUAGGGGCAUUUUUGUUAUUUUAAUAGUAUUUUUUUAAUAAUUAAAUUAUUUUGUGGUUUUUUUUUAAUUAUUACCUCACAAUAGGCUACCAAUUAUUUGAUUCAAUUUAUCUAUUUCUAAACAAGACGUGUAAUGCCGAUUAUAAAAAGGAUAUUUCACACGUGGAUAAUAAUGUGAUUAAAUUAGUUGUCAAAUGAUUGUUUUUUUUGUUGUUGUAACAAAUGAUAUUAUCUAUACUAAGGGGGAGGAAUGUGAGUUUAGCCUCACAAUGGGCUAGCAACAAUGUGAUUCAAUCAGUUGUUUAUUAAAUAUUAUUUUAUCUAUUUUAAACACGUUCAAAAAAUCUUAAGAGGCUUGUAAUGCCGGUUAUAAAAAAAGUCUUUCGCACUCGUAUAAUAAUUUGAUUAAAUUAUUUGUUAAAUGAUUAUUUUUUUUAUUAACAAACGAUAUUAUCUACAUUAAGAGGAAUGAGGUGGGCUUAGCCUCACAAUGGGCUAGCAAUAAUGUGAUUCAAUCAAUUGUUUAUUAAAUAUUAUUUUCUCUAUUCUUAAUGUAAAAUUUAUAGAGAUCGAUUUUAUUAUGUGAAUUCAACUGCUUUAAUUGGUUUAUGAGGGGUUUCUUCUAGCAUGAUAUAAGAUUAUUCAUUUACUUCAAAUAUUUGACUUUCCUUUUGUCAAUUUACACACAUAUAUACAUUUAAAACGUAUAAGUCGCGCAUAGCACGUUGUGAUUCAAAAAAUAUCUUCUGCACGUUCGUGAGCGCAUGCAUAGAAGCUAGUUUUUAUUAUCUUUUAAAUUGUUAAUCUUUAUUUCAAUUUGGCCCUUAUAUUUUAAAUUAUCUCUACUCCUUUUUUCAAGGAUUUUUACUUCUCUUUUUAAAUAUCCAUUGCUAGUUUGAAUUUCUCCCUUUUGAAUUCCAAAAAGAUGGGCAUCCGCCCAUUUUCAACCUGCACACGAAAUCAAACACAUAGACAAAGUAAGUAACACUAAUGACAUGUUUACGUAAGGGUAAUCGGAAUAAAGAAAGGGAAUUGAAUUCCGAUUACGGAGUAUUCCGGUGUUUACUAAAUAUUAAGGAAUCAAAAAAGUGGUGGAGCCCACACGAAACAAGGAAUCCAAUUCCUGAAAUUGGAGGAACCGGAUUCCCUAGUUUUGUGAGGUAUUUGAAUUCCCUAAGGGCAAGGGAAUCAGGAAUGCAUCUUUUAUUCCAAUUAUGCCCUCACUUGUUUCUUAUUAUCCCAACAUUGCCUUUCAUUUGACACUCAUUAUGUCAUUUUUAAUAAAUAAAUAAAACCUAUUUAUAUUUUUUUAUAUAGAUAAUUUUAUUAUAUAAAUUUAAUUAAGAAUUUAAUUUAAUUAAUUAGUAUGAAAAUAAUUUAUUUAUGUAAGGGCAAUUUAAGAGGUUGCACUUGGUGCGAUGGCAAGUGCCUUCGCCCAUGAGCGGUAGGUCUCGGGUUCGAGACUUGGGAGCAGCCUCUCCAUAAAAUGGGGGUAAGGCUAGCCGACAUUCAUCUCUUCCAGACCAUGCGUAAAGCGGGAGUCUUGUGCACUGGGUACGACCUUUUAUGUAAGGGCAAUUUAGUCAUCAACUUAGUUUUCAUUCCGAUUGAAGUGAAUUAGUAAACAACUUAUAUAGACUCAAUAUCAUUUUUGCCAUCUUUUAAUAAAUAAAUAAAACCUAUUUAUACAUGCUUAUAUAGAUGAAUUUUAUUAUAUAAAUUUAAUUAAGAAUUUAAUUAAAUUAAUUAGUAUGAAAAUAAUUUAUUUAUGUAAGGGCAAUAUAGUAAUCAACCUAGUUUUCAUUCCGAUUGAAAUGAAUUAGUAAACAACUUAUAUGGACUCAACAUCAUUCCUACUCCGAUUCCUGACAGUUUUAGUAAACAACUUCAACAGGAAUCUGAUUCUGAUUCCACCUCAUUUCAAUUCCUCCUCAAUCCAAUUCCCCCUCAAUCUAAUUCCUCUCAAUUUGAUUACGGAUUAGUAAACACGCCAUAAAAUUUGUUGACGUAGGGUGUGUGGUCCAGGUAGUCGUAGUACAUUGGAUCACAUCCAUCACGUGCCAACGAAAACGGAUCUCUAUUGAAAUGCCGCAAUAUUAUAUGAAAAAUGUUAAGAAGAUUUUGUUGACGUAGGGUGUGUGGUCCAGGUAGUACAUUGGAUCACAUCCAUCACGUGCCAACGAAAACGGAUCUCUAUUGAAAUGCCGCAAUAUUAUAUGAAAAAUGUUAAGAAGAUUUUUUUUAAAAUGAAAUUAUAUAUAAAUUUCUGUUACUUCAUAAUUUAACGUUAAUUUUUGUGCAAAUAUUAUAGAACAUUGUGCAAAAAAUGAUGGGUUAAAAAGUUCACACAAAGUCACACUUUACGAGAAUAUUCUUAACAUUUUUUUAUGUUAUAUUGUACACAAACUAGAAAAUAUUAUAUAAGUUUAAAUAAUAAAGAUAAAGCCACGUACAGCCCUCGAAGAAAUAUCACACUUUUCACUAAUCAGCUUGAUGCUCCUUAAGUACUCAUGAGUUUUUUUGUUAUUGUUUUUUUACUAAUAAGUUUAUAAUAAUAAAAAUACCAAAUUAUAUUGUCAGACAACGUUGAAUAUGUAGGUUCAUAUGUUAAUUAUUUGAGGGGUUCUUUUAGGGCCAAUAAAAUAUAAGCAACGCCAACUUCGAAAAGGAACUACAAAAGAAACAACUUGUGAUGAUUACAAGAAUGACUCUGCACUUAAAACUACCAACGAAGUCAUUAAUUGUGUAUGUACCAUACUUCACCAAUCCCGAAACUACUGAGUACCGGUCAACGUUAUACCGUCAAUGACCCAGAAGAAUUUCCCUCCAACCAGGAAGCCAAUCGUAGCACGACACGUGUCGACAUCAGAAGCCAAUCAUAGCGCGACAAUGUCAACAUCAGAAGGCAAUCAUAACACGACAUGUGUCAAUGUCAGAAUGAAACUAGAAAGUCUCUUCUAUAAAUAUAGAUCAUUCUUUCACAAUAUUUCAUAAUGUCAUUUGUACUAAAUCAUUCACUUGUACUCACUAAAUGAGAGCUUGAACCUAUGUACUUGUGUAAAUCAUUUGCAAUUAAUGAGAACUCCUCUACUCCGUGGACGUAGCCAAUCUGGGUGAACCAUGUACAUCUUGUUUUUGCUUCUCUAUCUCUAUCCAUUUACAUACUUAUCCAUACUAGUGACCAGAGCAAUCUAGCGAAGGUCACAAACUUAACACUUUCUGUUGUACCAAAGUCCUCACUUAUUUUGUGCAUUAACAAAUUGCAUUAUGAUAAAUUGUACCAACGUCACCAUGAGACAUGAAAGAAAGACUCAAGCUCAAAAAGAAAAAUCUAACAUGGACGAAAGUCGCACUAUCUAUUAUAUAUCAAGCGAAUAGGGCAAUGAAUAGUGCCAAUUUGGUGUCACAGCUUUGACAAAAUAUUAGGACAAAAUUGCCCCUCAACCAAAACAAAUCCAAAAACAGCCCAAUAUAAUAUAUCAAAUAAUGCAGGGGUAAUUUGGUCAUCAUAAAAUAUAAUAUAAAUAUAAGUGGGAAGAGAGAAAAGAAUAAAAAAAAUAAAAAGAUGAGUAAAAGUUGAUGGUGCCCUCGUAAGGGGGAAAGAAAAAUAUAAUUAAAAGGAAAAUCAUGAAUAUUUUGUUCAAAACAUCUUACGAGGCGCGUAGUGCCAGUGAUAAAUUAGUACAUUUAAAAAAAAAAAUUAGUACCUUAUAAUAUGGGUGGGCACGAGCCGGGCCGGGUAUCACAAAUAUGAUCACUGAAACCGGACCUAACUCGGCAAAUUUGAUCACUGGAACCAGACCUAACUCGGCCCGUUUGAAAUGGCCCGGUUCGGGAUGGGUCCACGGGUCAUUUUUUCCGGUUUUGAACCCCUCCCGAACUCGCCAUCAUCCAGAAUCCUAGAUCCUAUAUCUUCGACUCUGAUACCAGAACCAAAACCUAAUUGUUUUAAAACCUCAAUUCUCAAACCAAACAAACAAACAAAAAAAAUCAAAAAAUUAGAAGGUUGGGGGAGAGAGAGAUCAAGAGGGAGGAGGUUGAGAAUCGACAAAUCCAAGGUGUGAGAAAUCGGAGACAUAUGCGUUGGGAGAGAGAGAGAGACUAGGGGAGAGAGAGAUCGAGAUGGAUGAGGUUGAGAAUCGACAGAUCCAAGGUGUGAGAAAUCGGAGACACAUGCAUUGGGAGAGAGAGAGAGAUUGGGGGGGAGAGAGAUCGAGAUGGAGGAGGUUGAGAAUCCACGUAUCCAAUGUGAAAUCGAAGACAAAGGUGUCGGGAGAGAGACUGGGGGAGUGAGAGAGGGAGGAGACUGGGUAGAGGAGAGUGACGAGAGCAUUCGAGAAGGUGUGAGACACUGGUGGAGGUUGCGGUGGGGUGUGGGUGUGGUGUGUCUGCUUCGGGAAUGAGAGUUGCAGAGAUAUGUGUGGUAAAGGUAGGAGAGGCAUGGAGAGUUGCAGAGAUGGGAGAGGAAUGAAGAGUUGCAAAUAUGGGAGAGAAUGAUCAAGAUAAGAGAGAGUGAGUGAGCCAAGGUGACAAUGUUCUCGAGAUUGAGAACUGUCACGGGAUGCCUGGGAGACAGUAAUCUUUUCAAAAUUGGGAUGUUACACAAACGGGACCCCGGGUACCCAUUUUUUUUAUAAUUUUGGACUCAGCCCACCCCUAAAAUUCUAAAGCCCUGCCCUGCCCCGCCCCGUUUCUCUUUUUAAAAAUUAAGAACCAUCCCGUACCCGCCUCGACCCGCGGUUCCUGUACCCGUUUGCCCACCCCUACCUUAUAAUAGACUAGCAAUAAUGUGAUUCAAUCAGAUGUUGUGAAUAGUGAUUUUGGUGUCACCAAACUUCAACAAAAAUAUUUAGACAAGAUAAAAAAACUUCAAAGACAUCCCAAAAUAAUGCAUCAAAUAAGGCAGUUUCGUCAUUUUAAUAGUGAUUCACAAUAAGCUAGCAAUAAUGUAAUUUAAUUUCUCUAUUUUUAAACACGUUCAAAACAUUUUAAGAGGCGUGUAAUGCCGGUUAUAAAAAAGGCAUUUCACAUGCGGAUAAUAAUAUGAUUAAAUAAGUUGUCAAAUGAUUGUUUUUUUUUUCUUUUCAACAAACAAUAUUAUCUAUACUAAAGGAAGGGGGUGGGCUUAGCCUCACAAUGAGUUAACAAUAAUGUGAUUCAAUCAGUUGUUUAUUCAAUAUUAUUUUCUCUAUUUUUAAACACUUUCAAAACAUUGUAAGAAGCGUGUAAUGCCGGUUAUAAAAAAAGUCUUUCGCACGCGGAUAAUAAUGUGAUUAAAUUAAUUGUCAAAUGACUGUUUUUUUUUUUUUUUUUUACAAACGAUAUUAUCUACACUAAGGGGGAAGAGGGUAGGCUUAGUCUCACAAUGGGCUAGUAAUAAUGUAAUUCAAUCAAUUAUUUAUUAAAUAUUAUUUUCUCUAUUCUUAAUGUAAAUUCUAUAGAGACCGAUUUUAUUAUGUGAAUUCAGUUGCUUAAUUGAUUUAUGAGGGAUUUCUUCUAGCAUGAUCUAAAAGUAUUCAUUUACUUCAAAUAUUUGACUUUCCUUUUGUCAAUUUACACAUAUAAAUACAUUUAAAACGUAUAAGUCGAGCAUAGCACGUUGUGAUUCAAUGAAGGCUAGUAAUCUAUAAAACCCACAUCAUAAAAAUUCAACUUCAUCUCUUGCCAAACCCACACUACUCAAAACAACCACAGAUUGAAGAUUUUGAUAGAAAAAUUGGAUUGAAAAAGGAUAAAAAAAUAAUUGAUAGAGAACUCAAAAAUAAGCAAGCUUAAGCACGAACUUAAUCACCACAAAAGGGACUAAAAAAAUUAGUAUGUCAUCAAUGUGUGAUAAAAAAAAUCACUUGGUGGCUUAACCACAACAGUUUACCUUUUUGAGGACCAAAAAGACUUACAGAGUCACUUCAGCAUCUCUUUAACCAAUAUUGUGUGAUUUAUACGUUUCAAGAAUCUAUCUCAAAACAUACCGCAAAUAAAAUAUGAGUCUGAAAUACAUUUUUAAUCAGUGGGUCAUCCCGAAGCAGUUAUAGACCAUUAUUCAAUGUAUAAAAAUCACAAGUGCUAGACCAAUUCCAGGGCAGAGUUUUUUUGUAAGGUUAUUUUCGUUGGACCAGACCAAUUCCAGGGCAGAGUUUUUUUGUAAGUUAUUUUCGUUGGACCAGACCAAUUCCAGGGCAGAGUUUUUUUGUAAGGUUAUUUUCGUUGGACCAAUGAUAUUAAAAUUAUGCAUAGAUCACACAGAAGACAAUCCUAUCUUACUUGCAAGUUGCAUCGAACAGACAAGUAAAGGGUCCAAACCAACCAUGUCAUAAAUAAUCAAGUUCUUCAUAAUGGAUUUGGAUCCUCUCCUGAACUAAUGGAGGGGAUCCUCCUGACUAGUUAUUAUGGGCCAUUAGAUUUUUAUCCAACGGCUAUAAAUAGAGAAGCCACUUUAAAGUUAUAAUAAUUAUAACCGUUAGAUUUUUAUUUAAUGGUUCAUGAUAACUGGUCAGGAGGAUCCUCUCCAUUAUCUCCAGAGAGGAUCCAAAUCCCUUCAGAAUAACCAAAUUCGUCGAGAAAAACGUGGGACCGUGCAAUUUAACGACUUGAUCGUUCUUUAAUAAAUUGUAUAUAGACAAUAAAAUAUUAUGGGAUAAGUUUAAAUAAUAAGUAUAAAGCCAUCUCGAAAGUCGUCGAAGAAAUAUCACACUAUUCACGAAUCAGCUUGAUUGCUCCUUAAUUCAACAUUUGACUAAUGAGUUUAUAAUAUUAAAAAUAAUAAAUUAUAAUAUCAGACAACGUGGCAUAUGCGGGAUCAUAUGUUAAUUAUUUGAGGUUUCUUUGAGGGUGACCCAACUUGUUAUAAAAAUCACAAGCGCUAGAUCAAUUCCAGUUUAGAGUGUUUUUUGUAAGGUCAUUUUCUUGGGGGUAGUGAUAUUAAAUUACAUGGAAGACAACCUCAUCUACUUGUAAGUUGCAACGAACAGACAAGGAAGGGUUGAAUGUCUCAUUUUUCUAUCUUUAAUCAACCACGUCACUCUUAAUUAAAUAGAAAAGUAAUCAAUCACGUAAUUGACGAGUGAGAAAAGUCUUCCAAAAACUACAUAAUGUAGCACCAAUAUGAAUAAUUGCUAUAAAAAAAAAGCACAAAUGAAGCAACCUUAGGAGAACACCAAAGCAGCAGUUGCUGCCUUUUCCAAAUGGUUCCCCCGUUCUUCUAAAAAAAACUCUUAAACUACCAAGGUUUUGUUUUCAUGUGGUAGAAACAUGGAAACUCGUAAAUAACUAAUUAUUUAUAUUAUUACACGUAUUAAUUAUGUUUAAAAGAUAAAAUUAAAUAUAUGCGGGUCGGUUUGGUUAAUUGCACCCUAAGAAUUUUGAUAAUCGAUUAAGGUCAGUGCAGUUUGGUUUAGCCAUCGAAUUUUUUUUUUUAAAAGCCCAAACCAAACCAAACCGCCAGUGCAAUUUGGGCGGUUUAGUUGGUUUUUUAUUUUUUUAAUGCCCAGCCCUAUGUUCUACGUAGAACCCGACAUAAUUUUUUCUCUCAAUAACUAAGAUCCACAUAAGCAAAUUCAUCAAUUAUACUUUACUUAAAAUUUUUUUUUUACAUUUUCAAAUGCUUCAAAUAUUCCUAUUGCAUGUUUGAUGUACACAAUUAAUUCUAUAUGGGCUCUUUUAGGUUUGAUUAUCAUCAAAGAUAAAUUUGAAUCAUAUUAUUACAAACCCAUUGUAAGGCUUAGCUCACUCCCCCACCCUUUUAAUGUAGAUAAUAUUGUUUGCUUAAAAACAAAACAACAAUCUAUCUUUUACCUUUUAGUUGGUCAUAAUUUUUUCAUUUCACCCCUCAACAUACCUCAGAGAUAAAAAGUUACCUAUUUCAAUACAAUCAUACGUACUAAACGAUCCCAUAUUACUCCUAUAUAUACGUGUGUGUAUGACAAGGCGAUAAAUCAACUUAAGCCUUUGCCCAGUUCAUUGCUCAGUUCAGUAAAAAUCAUUUUGUCUCUAGCUUUCUAAUUAUUGAGUUGCAAAAAUGGAUUCUCUCCCAUAUGUAAACUCUAUCACUGCUGGCUUGUUCACAGUAAUCAUCGUGUUCUAUUACUUGUCACGAAGAUGGAGAGCUGCAAAUCACAAGCGCAAAUUAUCACCACCUGAAGCCAAGGGCGGUUGGCCUAUAUUUGGUCACCUUCCUUUGUUUGGAGGCUCCAUACCUCCUCACUUAACUUUGGGAGCCAUGGCGGACAAGUACGGACCCAUUUUCACUAUCCGCCUUGGCGUCCAUCCGUCGUUGGUGAUAAGCAGCAGUGAGAUCGCAAAAGAAUGCUUCACAACCAAAGACUUGAGCAUAAUCUCACGCCCAAGGAUGGUGGUUCUAGACCACGUUAGCUACGACUACGCCAUGUUUGGGUUCGGACCAGGUGGACCCUUUUGGCGAGAAAUUCGCAAGCUAGUCACCUUGGAGUUGCUCUCAGUCCGGAAGGUUGAGCUGCUCAAGCACAUUCGAGUGUCGGAAGUGGCUACUUUCUUAAAAGAAUUGCACGAACUUUGGAGUACAAAGAAAAAGGAGGGCUCGAAAGAUGGAGUGGUUGUAGAGCUAAAGCAAU